rnacentral:lncRNA from 1 species
GGGGGGGGGGGGGUCCGAAACAAACGACCCGUCGGCGCGGCGCAGCCGACGUCUCCUCUCCUCCUCCGACAUCCCAGCACCGCCUGGGUGGAGGAGCUACUUGCAACCCCUUUGCCCUUGUCCAAGGGGCGGGGGGCCACGGCGGGGGCAUGGGAAGCUCUGGCGGGGGCGUUGGGGGCCACGCCGGCAGUCUAGGGGCCUUCAACCGGCACAUCGGAAAUCCAGAUCCCGCGAUGGGGGUCCCUACCGCCGGUAUGGCGAACUGCGACGCCGCGCUCAUCGAGGGUCGGCAGCAUGGCCAAAAUCACCGUCCUCAACCCUGCAUCGUCGCGGAGCGCAGGGACGCCCUCGGGGAGGAUUAGAGACUUAGGGACAAAGUACUCACCAGUAAUCCCCUUCACCAGAACCUCUAGCUCCUCCCAGGAUAGGUCGGUCCCCGGCCCACGCUGGAUCCAGCCGAUGUCGUUUGAACCGGUGAACCAGCAACAUAGACGCGCCCUCUGCUGCAAUGGCACGAUACGACGCUUCAGGAAGUCUCUGACCACGUGCAUCGAUGUCAGGCCACCCGCCACCAAGCUCUUGAUCCUGUCCAGUACGAACUAGAACUCUGGCGCCAGGGAUGGCUUGGCCCUCCAUUGCUUCUAGUCGAGUCUUGGCCCGUCGCUCGGUAGGCUGAGGCGAUCGUUGGCCUCCACGCUAGCGAUCACCCAGUCACCGCGCUAGUUCUCCCACCUUGCGUCGCUAAGGGAGGGGAUGUAGGCGCCGGCCGAAUCCGGCCUUGUUUGGAAGUAGUAGGCGCCGAGGUGGUCCUUCGCCUUCCCCGACUUCACUAGCACAAAGAAAUGGCGGAAGAGGGAGGUGCAGGGCGCCACCCCCACGAACAUCUCACACAGGUGGGCGAAGAUGGCCGCCUGGAGGAUGGAGUGGGGGGUGAGGUGCUGAAGCUGGAGGCUGAACUCCUCCAACAACAGCAGGAAGAAAGGCGAGAUCGGCAAUGCCAACCCACAGGAGAUGUAGGAGGUAAACAAAACAAACUCCCCGGCAGCGAGGUCACCGAGGGGGACAGCGCCAGCGCGGAUCCUCUCGGCGAGUGCCGGCGCGCCCCACCCAAGCAGGUGGCGCACCACAUCAAGCGUCGCCUCGGUCUGGAAGCGGUCGGGUUGGCCAAGCGAAGUCAUGGCGUCGACGGCGGCGUAGGUGUGGAGCAAGAGAACGCGAAUGCAAAGGGGCGCGGAGAGCUCGAAGGCGAAAGGGCGCAGCGAGUGGAGAGAAUGCGAAAGCGUAACGGCUGCACGCGGGGUGAAUCCCUUUUCAAGGAAGACUCUCCUGCUCGUGCCCCGAGACGCAGCAAAGAAUCUCGCCCGACGCGCACCAAUAUGACCUAGCCUAUGACACGGGGGCCCGGGCCCACAAGUCAUACAGCUGGUGUGCGGGUCUCCGAGUGCGAAGGAGGCAAACCGCAACGCAAGGAGCGAACCGCCGCUCGCGGUAGUGCGCCUCUUCAUCUCCGCCGAAAACAGCGGCCCAGUCUCUGACACGGGGGCCCAGGCCCACGAGUCAUACUCCUUGGGCGUCGGUCUCCGAGUGCGAAGAAGGCGAACCGCCGCACGCGCCAGUAUCGCGUCUCCUCGAGGCUGCCGCAGAAGACAGAGAAGAUGAAUUUUCAAAACCAAUGCAGCGGUAUCGAGGCACCCCGCGCGUGGCCCGGCGAAACCAUCAAGUGUGGGGGGCAUGGGCCAGUCAGCCGCGGGGACAAACGUGGCAGUUGGCGUGACCGAAGACGGACUAGCAGUGAUUGCGUCAGCAAACGCAUGGAAGCGGCGCGCCAAUCGCCAAUCAAGCUUUAGCCCCACCUGCAGGCUCGUAUCCUCCCCUGAGGUGGGCCCGGGGGCCACUGUCGGUACCCUGAAACAGGGGUACCCCUUACUACAAUAUAAAGACGCGGUGCCCACGCGGCUAUCUCUAGUCGCGUGGUGAGCAGCACCCGACACCACCACGUGAACGGCUCCGGGUCCGCCACAUGGUCAGAAAAGACGAUAUACUCCAAGGUAUCAGCAGUGGGUCCGGACCCCCACGGGAAAGGGACGGACCCCUGUGUAUACGGAUCGGACCUCCGGGUAAGGUCCAGGACCUCCACGGGCACGAACCGGACCCCUAGGAUGGGUCCCGGACCCCUCUGUGUGGGGUCCGGGCCACUCACAACAGGGUCCCAGGAUUCUAGGACAAAGAGUACCCGGACCUUAAUCGAGACCAGGCGGGGGUCCGGAGCCGACACGUGUCCGGACCAUGUCGUCUACUCUUCUGCUCCCCGCUCAGACGGAGACCCAAUGCUGCCACGUGGCCCACUGCCCGUGACGUAAGCCAGUGGGCGGAGCCUGACGUAAGGCCUCUACGCCGCGCGACCUCUGCAUUUAUUGCGGAUAAGCCGCGCCGCCUGUCCACUCCACUGGCAGGCGAUGUGCCACCUCAGCAUUUAAUGAGCCCUGUCCACUCCACUGGCAGGCGAUGUGCCGCCUCAGCAUUUAAUGUGCCAUGUCCACUCCGCAGACGAGCGGCAACCAGGCCAUCCUGCAGGCGGCGUGCCUAUCCAUUCUGUUGGCAGACAGUACGCCCGUGCGGCGGCAUACACUAUGCGCAUCAUCACUCGCGCGUUACCGAGGAAGCAGCGCGGGAUAUCAAUACUAUAUGCACUACGGACAUUAUGGCGCUCAGAGGUCACCCUGGCGUUACAGGCAGUAGUUACUUUCUUCCAUUUUGCCCCUGGGCCCACAUGUCGGGGCUCAGUAUCCUUGUACGUGCCCCCCUUGAGCUAUAAAAGGGAGGGCACACAACGUUACAAGGCAGACCCAACUUAUGCUCUCACACUCGCUCAAACUCACAAGUUCAUGCAAGCUCUCAAGCUCAAUACAUCACACAGUGGAGUAGGGUAUUACGCUCCGGUGGCCUGAACCACUCUAAACCCUUGUGUGUUCUUGUGUUCAUCCCGAUUCCAUCUAACAGGCAAAACGCUUGGGCCCCUCCUCAUCUUAGGAUUUAGGGCGGGUGCGUUCCGCCACCCGGCCGGAGAAUUUCUUCUCCGACACAUAGGAUACCUCAUCAUAGGAGUCUCUACAGUGGGCCACAUAUCAGAAAAGACGGGACAACACACCAUACCGAGCGUAUGUGAGACUACGUACGACGGAAGGUGACACAGGGCAUAUAACGCGAAGCGAUGUCACGUACGCCCGUUCCCUGGGACAAGCUCGCGGGACCUGCACACAUACCACCAGGACAUUAACAACAUAUUUUCUACAGGGACCAACAUGAUGGACAACACCACACAGGAGGUACGAGUACGACCACACAAGGGAAAAAAGACACCACAUUGACCUAGGGAGGCCGGUAUCCCUAUCUCUCUCUCCCUUCUCGUCAGGGGCGAGACUCCACUAUAAAGGCUUCUCCCUUGAUAUAUAAAAAGGGAGGACACUCCUUUCUUCAGAGCACGAGCACACCAGUUGUAACACGCCUCCAAGUAAUACUAUGAUCAACACUACACUAGACUAGGGUGCCAGCUUGAACCUGUAUAAACCCUCUGUCUCAACCCACAUCCGAGACUCAACGACACACCAUUCGGAGUGAGUCCACGCUAGCACCCCUGCCGAACACAAAUCUUAAUGUCCCCGAUUUCCAAAACCACGACAUUUGGCGCACCAGGUAGGGGACUGUUAGCGUGCCAGCAGACAUCUUCCACUCUGAUGACCCAAUCCUUCGAGUUCUCCAGAGGCAAGACUUUUGCCCUAGGAGCCGUGUCACAUUCAGAUCCCUAAACUUCCUUGCCACCGUCGUCGGUGAACUCCGCCUCGUCGACCCCGAUAUACCCUCCGCCGCGAGCACAUAACCCGUCAAUUUCAACGAAAGCAUGGCGGAAAAGCGAUGCCUCAAGAGGCAUGCUGCCGCACUACCAUGACGCCCUAGCUAGAUCACUGCCACUGUCAAGCAACGAGCGGAGGAAGCUCCACCAACCGCCCUCAUGGCCAUCAUCAGCCAUCGACAAACAUUCGACAACAAGUGUCAUCACAAAUCGGCCACACAAGAAAUACAUGUGGCGGAUCCCACCACCCCACGGUACCUCCAAUGGUCAGAGUCCCCAAUCAUCUUCGACCGUGGUGAUCACCCAAACGGGAUCCCGCAUCCCGGGACGACCUCCCCCUUGUCGUCGAGCUGAUUAUGGGCUCGAAGUGCCUCUCCAAGGUACUCAUGGAUGGGAGAAGUGGCCUUAACAUCAUGUACAUCAAGACUCCUUUGACGGCUUGGCGAUCGCACGGUCCGCGCUGCGCCUCAGCUCGCACCGUUCCACGGCAUCGUGCCCCGCUGCUAAGCCUACUCGCUCGGAUGAGUCACUCUGCAUGUCACAUUCGGCGAACCCUCCAACUUUCGUACCGAGCGGGUGCAAUUCGAGGUGGUGGAUUUCCGGGGAGCCUACAACGCCAUCCUGGUGAGACCGUGCUCCGUUAAGUUCAUGGUCGUCCCCAAUUACACAUACCUCAAGCUGAAGAUGCCCGGUCCCCCCAUGGGAUCAUUACGGCGUCUACCUCGUUCGAAGUGGCUUGCGCCCGUCGGAGCUGGGGCCCACCUAUCGGAGCGGCUCAACAAUCUUGUAUGUGUCACCCUUGGACUAUAAAAGAGAAGGCACAUGCGGUAUAAGGUGACAUUCUCAUCCUCACUCAGACCGAGAGGCUCGUUUACGCUCACUCAAGCAAUACAAUUCACAAGUGAAGUAGAGUAUUACGCUCCGGCGGUCGAAACACUCUAAAUCCUCGGUGUUCUUGUGUUCAACCAUCUCAUUUGGCUAACUCUAGGCAGCCUCUGCCGUGUAACCAAUCGAUGAGGAACGUAGGCCCGAUCAACGCAUGUGAGGAGUUUGGGCGUUGGGAGCUGGGCAACCAACCCUCUAUAUAUGAUCCGGCAGCGGACUGUUCUGGGGUGGCUCAAUAAUGGCUGAAUGGUCGGAGGUAAGUUGCGGAGGACGACCACACACAGCUGCGCGCGGUUAUGAUCAUCGUCCACCACGCCUAUCCGUUCCGUUCCGUUCCGUUCCUGCGGGACAAAGCAAUCACACUCGUGCACUCUAUUGCUACAAGCAGCAUCCGGAGCACAUGACAUGAUUGUCUCUUUAAUUUUCCUUCCUCGAGGAAAGUGCCCAAAUAAGUCCGAAUAUAUCAACGUACCUAGCUCUAUUAUUGGUAUAUUGGUACUGUACUAUACAUGAUCACAGCCAAAAAACAUACAGCAAGAGGAGUCUAAUCUCAAAGACCCAUGUACAGCAAGAGGAUGAUGAAACCCCCAAUUAAUAGUUGCUAGUUUAAGUGUAGUGAGACUAGUUUAUAUAAAUCAGUCAUGGAAAUCUCUCCCUAUAGUACGUGAGUGUUUAGUUACUAGAGACUAAUUUUUAGUCCCUCCAUUUUAUUCCACUGUAGUCUAUAAAUUGUAAAAUACGGAAACUAUAAUUCUAUUUUAGUUUCCGUAUUUGACAAUUUAGAUACUAAAGUAGAAUAAAAUGGAGAGACUAAAAAUUAGUCCCUAAAACCAAACACCCCGUAUAUACGUUACCACAGGCACGCAUCGUUAACACCAACAUGGUCUGAUCUCGUGUGUCUCUAACUCUAUCUAUAAAAACAGUGAGGGCUGCAAGCAAAAUUUGCCGGUAUCGUAGUGCUCGCUGUCUGGUACGUCUGCGCUGUGAUCGUCUCUCCCCCCUUGCUUCCUUCCGCAGUUCCGCUGCUUGUAGUUGCAUGCAUGUGGCUGUGAAGAUGAUGGCAUCGUCCACCGAGGAGGAGCUAGAGAUGAACAAGAAGAAGGUGUGCGUGGUCGGCGCCGGCGUCUCGGGGCUGGUAUCCGCCCGCGAGCUACGCCGGGAGGGCCACGACGUGACGGUCAUGGAGCAGAGCGGAGGCGUCGGUGGGCAGUGGCUGUACGACCCGAGGACUGACGCCAGCGACCCGCUCGGUGCUGCCGGCGUGCACAGCAGCGUCUACGCCUCUCUCCGGCUCACCUCGCCCAGGGACAUCAUGGGCUUCUCCGACUUCCCCUUCUUCCCCCGCAGCAACGACGACGGCGACUCCCGGCGCUACCCAGGGCACGCCGAGUUCCUGAGGUACAUCAGGGACUACUGCGACACGUUCGGCCUCAUGGACGCCGUCAGGCUCAACACCAAGGUCCUGCACGUGGGACGACCACUGUUGGACGACGACGGUGUUGUGACGCGGUGGACGGUGAGGUACUGCUCGUCCGGACAUGGUGUCUCUGAGCACGAGGCGGUCGCGGAGGAGGAGUUCGACGCCGUUGUCGUGGCCUCUGGCCACUACUCCCAGCCACGGCUCCCAGCCAUCAACGGCAUGGACAAGUGGACGAGGAGGCAGCUGCACUCCCACUCGUACCGCGUCCCCGACUCCUUCCACGCCGAGGUGGUGGUGCUCGUGGGCUUCCACCAGAGCGGCGUGGACAUCGCGCUGGAGCUCUGCAAGGUGGCGAGGGACGUGCACGUCGUCAGCGUCAAGUCCUUGGAAGGCCUCACUCCCGGCGUGCGCAAGGCUGUGCCCAGGCACCACAACCUGCACCUGCACCUCCAGGCAUGCAGGCAAUCUUACCUGCUAUAUAUAUAUAUGCAUGCAGCUACUACAAACAGAUCCAGCAUGUUCCAUUCCAUUCGUGUUGAUUGAAUUAUUGUGGUGUACAGUACAGAUCGAGUGCUUGUGCGAGGAUGGGAAGGUCAUGUUCGCUGACGGCUCGUGUGUCGUCGCCGACUCCAUCAUCUACUGCACUGGGUGAGCGCUGCGUGCUUCUCCGCUCAACACAUGAACUGCUGACCCAUGAUGCAUGUAUAUAGGUACGACUUCUCGUUCCCGUUCCUGGACACGGGAGGGCUGGUGACCGUGGACGACAACCGCGUGGGCCCGCUGUUCGAGCACACCUUCCCGCCGGCGCUGGCGCCGUCGCUGUCCUUCGUGGGCGUGCCAAGCCAGGUGCAGACGCCGCUGUUCUACGAGGUGCAGGCGAGGUGGGUGGCGCAGGCGCUGUCGGGGCGGAGGCUGCUGCCGCCGGCGGAGGAGAUGCUGCGGGCGGCCGAGGAGUACCACCGCGCCAGGGAGAAGGCCGGCGUGCCCAGGCGCAUGUCGCAUGCCAUCUUCUUCGACUUCGACUACUGCGACGAGUUCGGGGAGAAGCACGUGGGCUUGCCGCGCCCGCCCGAGUGGAAGAAGGAGCUCAUGCGGGCGGCCGUUGCGCGCUUGCUCCAAGACACGGAGACCUUCCGUGACGACUACCGCGACGGUGACCUUGUCCUGGAGAGCCUGCGCCUAGAGGGCUGGUCCUCAGCUCCCUCCCCGGGCACGCUUAACGACAAGGAGAAUGGAAUUGCCAUGCAUGAUAUGAUGCAUGACAGAGAUGGAGAGACACUGGAAUAAGCUACUAGGGCACAGUCAACAUGAAUGAUUUGGCUUCCAGUGCCACAUAUGCAAUAAAGUUGCAACGAUAAGGGUGUCCAAGUUGCUUGGCAUUUGGCAAACCGUGAACACUUUCAUCAAAGAUAAGGGAGGGGUAGAGGGUCCUCUAGAUCCCCCGGCCAUCUGGAUGAAACCUAGGCUAUGAGCCAAAAGCCAGGCAGACAGCAGAGACAGGCAAUCCUACACUCGAUUUUAUUAAGCCUAUAAUUAAUACUCACAAUUGAUCGACAUUAUUGUUCUUAAAAGAUUGAAUCUAACCAAAACCCUGAGCUCUAAUAUGGCGGCUGUGGACCGUGCGUACUGAAAAUAUAUGAGGGUUAGAGGCAUGCUACAUGCAAGACAUCGGACGCCUUCUUAAUGGAUUCUAACACGAUGCUCUAAGAUCGUGGCAAAGUGUAUCUUGGCGCCAUUUUUAUAUCAAACACUAUUUUUAUAUCAAACACUAGAACAAACCAUCUGACGGUACUCUCUACGGGAGCAGGAACGGUCCACGAUAUAGGGUCGGAUGGUCCGCAAUCAUGCUGCAGGAGUGGCUCCCCCACUCUGCGUGCUUCCGGAUGGUCAAUGUCUAUAAUGUCGAAUGGUCCGUGAUGACGCAUAGUCUUCUUCUUCGCAGAAAUCUAAAUCUCGCCUCCAGAGAGGGACCCCAUUGGGGGGAGAUUCUAGGGUGGUUGUCUUAGGGCUGGUAGGCCAUCUAAGACGUCUUUAGACGACGUCAAGCCGAAGAGAGGUGAAGAUUUGAUGUUGAGAAAGACUAAUACUAAGGCUAUAUUACUCCUACUCCUAAUGCAUGGAAAUAACAAGUUAAAUAAGAUCAAAAAAUGGUAAAUUGGUUUGAUUGGAUCGAUUACGUGUGCCAAUAGGCUAUACCUCUUCAUUUAUAUAGGGGGUCUGGACCCAUUCCAAAUCGGUUCCCAAAUAAAUAACAUGGAGUUUGCUAACAAGUUACGCAAGACAUCAAGAACCCUAAUUGAUUAUGUUUCCGCGCGGACCGUAUGCGCCACCACGACGGACCGUCCGACUAGCACUUUUGGUGCUCAACAGAUGCAUUUCUGCCUUUUGGUGGAGCUUGGUGAACCAAAAACACAUGUACUAUCAGCACCCUUUGAGAGACAAUAGAUCCCACAUGUCAUUUUGCUCCUGAAGUAAGAACUUAGCUCGAUGCAAGUCGCCGACUUCUAAUAGGAUAAUCCUUUAUUAGAACUUCUAAUCCAUAAAGGUUGUUUAGGUUUAUAUCUUUUUAGACCAUGACUAUUUGAUGAAUGGGUCAAUAGGCACAAAAUUGUGGUGCCCCAAGCCUAAAUAAGAAAAGGAAUUAUGCAUGUAAUACAGGUUCAUCACCAUAUUAUUCCAUAUUCGAAUAGAAUAAUAUAUUGGUGAUGAGUAGGCUGGUGAAAAGUACCAUGGAAUCACUAGAGAUGGAUGAACAACCAACACUUGUUGCGCCGUCUUUUGGGUCAUUUUCAUCGAUCGUGUUACUUUUGUGGAUGACUGAGGUUGCUUUGUUGGCCGACCACAUAGGACAACCUUCUCACUAACUAUUCAUGGUUGUCGAGGCUUGAAGGCAUAUGGAUGCUGCUGCCUCUCAUUGCUACCAGACCAUUCGGUUGAGUCAGCCGGACUAUCCUUGUGGGCUCCAGACUGUUUCGCACAUGUGACAGACCAUCCAUGAUGCGCAGGACAAGGAGCUUUGAUCGACUGGUCGAUCACGCUCACCCCCGUGCCUUCGGUCUUAUUAGUUCUCUUGUCCGAGCCUUCUAAGUAACUACUCUCCAUGAUAUUUUGGGCAUACAAGGAUCACCGAUGAUAAUAUUUUUGUCUUUGUCUUUAUCGGCCUCUUUCGAUCGAAUCAAGACUUUUUUAUCUGUCGGUUCUAUUAUAUUGAUAGUAAAUGACUGUUUGUCAAUUUGCAUCUCAUGAAAACUCAACCGACCGUCAUUUAUGGCCAAUUGUAUCUGUCGACGAAAACUUUACAACCAUUGGUGGCAUAAGAAAAAGAAUUAUGCUACUUGCAAUAAGUAGAUCUUGUACUCUCUUUAGUUCAUCUUGAGAAGGAAUAGUAUGAGCCACUUCAAUGUUGCCACUUUUUAAUAGCUCAUCAAAUAUUUUGCCACAUUUGGCAACAUUAAAAGUAAAUUUAACUUAUUCCUAUCGGUUAUUUUGAACCAGCUGCAAAGAACAACAUGACGAAGGUUUGGCCUUUAUUGGCCAAACAAGUUCAACGGUACAUACAGUUACGGAUUCAUCAUCUGAACUACUUGAAUCGCGCUCCACUAGAUACACAUUAUGGCCAGCUGAUUUGGAUGCUUCUUGCUCUGGCUUUCACAUACCAAAGCCCGCUGAUGUAGUUGUGCUAUUGAGAAUAACUGGGUGCCAUCUAAUUUUUCUUUUAAGUAAGACCGCAACUCUUUAAAACCAGCCCUACUAGCUGUUUAUCUGUUACAUGAAUUUGGAAGCAUCGAUUUCUAGUGUCCCAAAAUCUCUAAAUAUAGUCAUUAACCGAUUAAUCACGCCCCUAUCGGAUUGAAGCUAAAUCAGCUAAUUCCAAUUCAUACUCCCCAAAAAAGAAAUGCUCAUAGAAUUUACUCUAUAAAUCAUUUUAGUAACUAAUGGAAUUAGGAGACAGAGCGGUGUACCAUGCAAAAGUGGUACUAGUAAGGGAUAAGAAAAUAAAUGAACACAAAAGGCUUACCUAUUAGUCAAUUCACCUAGUUGUACUAGGAGCUGGUCUAUCUGCCUAUGUGGUCAUGUGUGCUUUUGCCACAUUUACUAAAGAAUUCGAAAAACUUCGGUAUCCUAAUCCCCUGCGGGUAUGGGAUAGUGUCAAACCGAUGAUCAUAUUCCUUUUGAUAUGAUUGCCCUAAUCUGGUCACACUUACUUUGAUCCUUUCUCGGUAUAGUUCAACCAUUCCUUCCAAUUUUUUCCAUAGUGCCCGGUGGCAUGCUACCGGUCUUUGGGAUGUGAGGCUCAUUUGGCCGGGCAUUAUUAUGAUGGCAUUCUUGCGAUGACCGAUCAAAAAUGAUGUUUGUCAUGUGAUAACAUGGUGCGCUGCGACUUUUAUAUGUAGGCGGAAACAUAAUGGUGUUGCGGCACAUAAUAAAUUGGUGUGUUGUGUGCAAUAAUAGGUUGUGCGUAUGUGUAUCCGGACGGUCUGCCCUAGGUGAUAGGACGACUCGGUGUGAUGACGGGCGAUCCGAGUGUGUACCCAGACUGUCUGGUCGUGUUUGUUACCACUAGGGGGCAUGUUGUGGUCCCAGCGUGGUUCUAAACUAUUCGGUAGAGAGUGUCGAACUGUCUGCGUCAGGACCAGACAUUCUAUGAUUAGAUGCGGACAGUUCGAUCACAUCUAGUGUCGUCGAUCUGUCAAGCAGAGACGACGGUGGUAUUUGCCAUGGAUAUGAAUUCAUCGGCAUACCGUAUAAUGGUUGGAGCUGCGAAUCUUCAUUUGUUGCCGAUGUAUUAGGUACAUAUAUCAUAUUGCUAAUUUCGUAUGACAAAGAACUAGGAGCAACAAUUUAUCAAAUGUGCGUGUUAAUUUUCUAAUUGUUUCUUCCAACCCUCUAAUAUAUUGUUUCAUUUGAUUUUGUUGUUGAUAUAUAUAUUGUUUAAUAGAUUGGAUGUCGUCAGACUUAAUUACAUUGGAGAUUUGAAGAGAAGGUAGGAGAGAUGCGAUCUGGAUCACUCCAUGCUUGGUAAUCUUCUAGUGCUGAUCUACCGUGAAUUAUGAUAAGAAUUUCUCCUUCGCCUCCUCUUAAACAUUGGCGAGUUGGUGGUGUGUCCUCUCUCACUUGGCUCAUGAGAUCCUGAUAUCGUUGUUGUUCGUCAACCGACAUACUAUCAACAGUCGGUCCAAGGAUAUUAUCUUUGGAAACGCUAGUGCGAUCUUUAGAACUGGCCAUCCACGACCGAUUAUAAUAUAUACAUCUAGAACACAUUUGGUCCCCAGUACAGACACUAAAAAUGUGUUGCCGUCAAUUUGGUACCCAACACUAGAACGAACUACCUUGCAGUGAUAUCUGCGGGAGCGUGGACAGUCCGCAACCUCGCUGCAUGAGUGGCUCUUCUCUGUGUGCUUCUGGAUGGUCCAUGAUGGCGCAGAGUCUUCUUCUCUGUAGAAGCCUGAAUCUCGCCGCCCGGGAGGGAUCCUGUUGUGGAGUAGAGAUCCUAGGGUUGUCUUGGGUUCGACAGAACACCUAAGACACCUCUAGAAAAUAUUAAGCCAAAGAGAGAUGAAGAUUUGAGGUUGAGAAAGAUUAACACUAAGGCUAGAUUACUCCUUAAGAAAAAUAAUAUAAAAAUGGUAAAUUGGUUUGAUUGGAUCGAUUGUGUAUCGCAAUAGGUCGUACCCUUUUAUUUAUAUAAGGAUGAAGUCUGGGCCGUUGCAAAUCAUACGAAGUUUACAACAAAUUUUGUAAAAAAAUAGGAAGCCUAAGGGCUUGUUCGGUUUGAUGCUAAUCCAUGUGGAUUGGGCGGUAUUGAGUCGGUUUAAAUCCAUAGUAAGUCAAAAUCUAACUCAAUACAUUCCAAUCCCCUCCAAUCCACAUGGAAUGGAAAUAACCGAACAAAGUCUAAGGUCUUGUUCAUUUGUGCCGGAUUGGUGGGUCGGAACGAUUUCUAGCUGGAUUGCUUCUCUAAUUUAUAUAACUUUUGAUUAGCUGGAACGAUUCCGGGUGCAAUCUGACGUAACCGAACAAGACCUAAUUGUUUUUGUUCCCGCGCGGAUCGUUCACGCCAUGAUGACCGUCUGGCUCGCGAGAUUGUCAAGCUUGUGCAGAGUGGGAGCAGGGACGAAUCAUGAUAUAAUAAUAAUAGUGACAACGAUGAUGAUUAGUAGGAGCGGUUGAAGUGAGUACGAAAAUGAAAUCAGAGAUGACUAAAGACUCGCAGCCAGCCAAUCAAUCAAACGAGCGGCAUGUCGGUCCACCUCCACCAGCGGAGAGGCCAUGAUGCCAUAUAUAGAUGGCCAACCGGGCCGCACGACACUGGCACUGGCACUAGCACGACCAGACACGGCACGACCAGGCACGGAAAAAGAUAUGUAUCGUGCCUGUUAGUGCCCCUGUGCUGGGCCCUCGGCCCAGGCACGACACUAACAGUGCCUAGCCGUGUCGUGCCACCAGGCACGGCGGCACGCCAGUGCUAGUGCCAGCACGGGCACUAUGUAUAUAAAAAAUGGUCACAAAGAGAGUAAGAGACUAAUCACAAAAAAUGGUCACAACAGAUAUAAGAUGAUUUUAUUAUGACUUAACAGUUUCAAACAACAUAAAAAUGGUCACAAAGAGAGUAAGAGACUAAUCAAACAACAAUUUUAUUAAGAGCUGUAGUGUAAUGGCUGCCUCGUUAAAAACCUGUCUAGGUAAAACUCACCCUUGUGAGAAACCCUAGAUAGGAAAAAAGAGUACAACCCAGCUCAUUAAAAAGUUUAUUGUCCUUACAACAAAGUCCAGGUGCAUAAUAUUACAGUCCCAUUACAGAAAUGGUCACAAAGAGAGUAAGAUACUAAUCAAGAUAAAGAUUUUCAAAUGUUUCUUCAAGCUCUUUGUCAUCCACCAUGUGUUGCAUCCUUGCUUCAGCAUCCUCCCAAUCUUUAAUACAUGUCAACAUCUCAACCACAUCAGACUUCAACCUCCUCCUCCGCUCGUUAAUGAUACUGCCAGUUAAACUAAAAGUGGAUUCUGAAGAGAUGGUAGACACAUGAACAGUUAAAAUAUCUUUAGCCAUAAUUGACAGUACUGGAUAAGUGAGUUUGUGCUGAUGCCACCAGUGCAAGAUGUUGAAAUCAUCAAUUAACUGGUUGACAGUGUCACAAUCUAAGUAAGAAAUGAGUUCAGAAGCAGUAGAAGUUGAAGAGCUUGCAGCAUGCAGUAGAGCAGUUGCAGAGGUAUCUCUAGCAAUGUUUAGAGUAGAAGCAAAAGAAUGCAUACCAACAGAAGUACCCACAUCAUCAGCAUCAUCAUAAAUUUCAUCCCAAGCAGUCCGUUUCUUACCAGACAAGUUAGGAGGGACAACCCUGUUCAAUCUAACAGAUCCAUAUUUCUCUUCAUAUUUAUUAUAAACAUCAGUAAGCUUAGCUCUAAUGGUAACCUGAUAAACAACAUAAUCUGUACUUGUCAGGUUCAUUAAUCUUCUAAGCACUCUACUAAAACCUUUCAUUUUAGCUCUAGGGUCCAAGAUGAAUGCAAAAGAGUAAAGUAAAGGGAUGUUCCUCCAAUAUUUAUUAUAUUUAUCUAUCAUAGGUUGAAUGAAACCUCUGAUAUGAGUGUCAUUAGCAUAGUUCUUUAGAUGUAUAGCAAUCUUAACAAGAAAAUGAAGCAUAAGUGGAGAUGUAGGAUAAUAAACACCAGACAAUGCAACAGCAGAAUCAUAAAAUAGCUCAAGAAAUUUAAGUACUUUAUCUCCAAUAACCCAAUGUUCAUCAGUUAAAAUAAAUUGAUCACCUUCAGCCCUAGGAUAGUUUGCAUGAAUGAAAGUAGUGAAAGGUAUCCUAUGAGGAAACAAAUGCUUAAGCAUCAGAUAUGUAGAGUUCCACCUAACCUCUAUUUCCAACUGGAAUUUUCUAGGCCUAAUAUUAGUAGCAAUGCAAUAACUUUUAUAUGCAGCAAUUCUCUGAUUAGAGGAGUUCUAAUGUAGAAGUAAGAGUCUCAACAAGCUUAGCCUUUUUGUCAGUGAAGUAUUUAACCAUGUCUCUGGUGGUGGUUUGCCUAGAGACAGGCACAAAUUUAGGAUUAUGAGCAGUUCUAAUGUAGUGUUCAAAUGCAGCAUUUUCACCCAAACUAAUAGAAAUUUCUAGCCUAGCAAGCAAUCGAACCAAUUCAUUAUGUGCAACCAUAGGACAGUACUCCCAGUUACGCAUACUACCAUCAGGAUUAAAAGAUAUCUGAGACUGAUACAUGCGGGUUUUUUCACGCCUCCUGGGACAUCUAUCUCUAUGUCGGGUGAGGUGGCCAGUGCCACCACUAGAGAGAGCAGAAUAUUGCUUAGAGCAAUGUAUGCACUUAGCUGCAAACCUUACCUUCUUACCGUUCACGAUUUUGAAAAGUUUCUCGAAAUCUAACCAGACUGCAGAAGUAGAAGGACGACAACGCUUGGCACUGUGUUCGUCCCCUUCACCUUCCUGACCACCGACUUGUUGUUCAUCACCGACAUGGACGGGAUGCUCACUGCUAUGGCCAAAGAGCGCUGCAGCAUCCUCCCGGAGGUCAUCCUCAUCGUCAUCUCCGGUCAACCCGCACAACCGUCGCUCCUCGUUGCAGUCGAUCUCAACAGUUUCAUCGUCGGAGACGGCCAUCGACCCACCUCGGAGUCCCGGUUCCUCAACGGAGUAAGCCGGAGCACCGAAAUCUAGGAGAGAGGAGAGGACGACCGGUCCGGCCAACCGGUUCCUCCACGGAUUUGAAUCCGGAGCACCGGAGCUAGGAGAGAGGAGAGGGAGACCGGAGCUAGGAGAGAGGAGAGGGAGACCGGAGCACCGUAGCUAGAAGAUAGGAGAGAGGAGUCCCGGUUCCUCAACGGAGUAAGCCGGAGCACCGAGAUCUCCGCAGAAGCGCAGAUCACACCGGAGGCCGGAGGGGGAGAGGGAGACCGGAGCUGUGUGCCAGUGCCGGACAGUACCGGAGGGGGAGAAGAAGAUAGGAGAGGGAGACCGGAGCUAGGAGAGAUGAGAGGGAGACCAGAGCUAGGAGAGAGGAGAGUACCAGUGCCAGUGCCGCCGUAUCGGACCCCGGAGUCCCGGUUCCUCAACGGAGUAAGCCGGAGCACCGGGAUCUCCGCAGAAGCGCAGAUCACACCGGAGGCCGGAGGGGGAGAAGAAGACAGGAGAGAGGAGACAGAUGAGGGAGAAUGGAGCACCGGGAUCUCCGCAGUAGCGCAGAUCACACCGGUUCACAAAUGCGUAGAUCCAUGAGUCGUGCGCGUGUAAACCCUAAUAAGCCGGAGCACCGGGAUCUCCGUAGAUCACACCGGAGGGGGAGAAGAAGACAUGAGAGAGGAACUAGGGUUAUGGAUCUGAGUUACCCGGUUCACAAAUGCGCAGAUCCGAGCGGGGGAGAGCCGGAGAGGAUCUCCGAUGAGCGACGAUCGAUCCAAGCGGAGGCGGAGAGCUGGAGACCGCAGACCGGAGGCGGAGAUGGAGACUGCAGACCGGAGCGCUUAGCGGAGGCGGAGGCAACGAGGGAGAGGAGAGUUCGCUGGUCGCCGCCGAAUCGCCCGCGGCUGAGAGAGAGCGAGUGAGGCAGUGAGCGAGUUAGGGUUUGAGUGUUGCGGCUGCGCGGCUGGGGGCUGGGGUGGUUUACACGUGGACGCGGUGGGGCGGUGCGGCUCCGCGCCUGGGCCACGCGCGCUGGCAAAUGGGCCGUGCCGAGGCCGUGCCAGCCCAGUUAGUCGUGUCGUGCCUGGGCCGACACUACGGGCCCAAUUGGUGGCCCAGACACGGCACUAUGUACGGGCCGUGCCCGGCACUGGCACUAAAAGGAACGAGCUGUGUCGUGCCUGGGCCGUGCUUUUUAGUGUCAUGCCUGGGCCGGCCCACCGUGUUAGUGCCAUUUGGCCAUCUAUAAUGCUGUAAUGGCGUCGUCGCCCAAGAAGAAGAAGGUGGGGUACAGAGCUACGACAUUUUAUAUUGACGAGCUUAUACAUAUUGAUUGAGGACAUUAUAGUAUAUAUUAUUGAAGACUUUAUUAUAUAUUGACGAGGAGCUUGCAGAAUCGAAGUAGGAUUUGCAAUUGCAGCCAGCCAAUAUCAGACGAGCAGCGUGUUUGCAGCUCCAUCGGCUCGGCGGAAGAGGCGAGAUGGCGUCGUCGUCCAAGAAGGUCUGCGUGGUGGGCGCCGGCGUCUCGGGUCUGGUCUCCGCCCGCGAGUUGCGCCGGGAGGGCCACGACGUGACGGUCAUGGAGCAGAGCGGCGGCAUUGGCGGGCAGUGGCUGUACGACCCGAGGACCGACGCCGACGACGCCCUCGGCGCGCACAGCAGCAUCUACGCCUCUCUCCGGCUCAACACGCCCAGGGAGAGUACGGGCUUCUCCGACUUUCCCUUUGCCUACCCCAGCAACGACGACGGUGCCGGCGACGGCCGGCGGUACCCGGGGCACGCCGAGUUCCUGAGGUACAUCAGGCGCUUCUGCGACGCGUUCGGGCUCAUGGACGCCGUCAGGCUCAACACCAAGGUCCUGCACGUCGCCCCGUUGGCGCCGCGCAGCCACGGCGACGGCGUGACGCGGUGGACGGUGAGGUGCUCGUCGAGACUUGGUGACUGUCAGGACGAGGCGGUCACCACGGAGGAGACGUUCGAUGCCGUCGUCGUCGCCGUCGGCCAAUUCACCCAGCCAAGGCUCCCCGCAAUCAAUGGUGGGUUCCGAACGGUCAUUACAUACAUACAUAUCAAUGAAUGAUUGAGAUCUGAAUCUGAGAUCUUGGUCAACUGAGCUGCUGCUGCUGCUAUUAUUUAUAGGCAUGGACAAGUGGAGCAGGAGGCAGCUGCACUCCCGCUCGUAUCGGGUCCCGGACUCCUUCGAAAACCAAGUGGUGGUGGUCGUGGGAUGCCAGGCGAGCGGCGUGGACAUCGCGCUGGAGCUCCGCACGGUGGCGAGAGACGUGCACAUCAGCGUCAAGUCCGUGGACGACGACGUCGCCGUGUCCCCCGGCAUGAGGAAAGCUGUGUCCAGGCACCACAACCUGCACCUCCACGUCCAGGCAAGUUUCUGCUGUGGCUUGUUCGUGGAUAUCUAUAAUAGUCCGGAGGAUCGACAAGAAUGCAUGUGUUUAUGUAGAUCGAUAGCUUGUGCGAGGACGGGCAUGUGGUGUUCGCCGAUGGCUCCUCGGUGGUCGCCGACGCCAUCGUCUACUGCACCGGGUGAGCGCGCGACAAGUCUUUAUCAAAUGUUCCAUCUUUUUCAGCUCUUACUAAUAUAUACGAUCAUAUAAAUCCGCCAUGCAUGGCACGCAAAUGUAUGAAUUGAAGGUACGUCUACUCGUUCCCGUUCCUGGACACGGGAGGCCUGGUCACCGUGGACGACAGCUGCGUCGGCCCGCUGUUCGAGCACACGUUCCCGCCGGCGCUGGCGCCGGCGCUGUCCUUCGUGGGCGUACCAAAGAAGGUGGUGGUGCCGCGGUUCUUCGAGGCGCAGGCGAGGUGGGUUGCGCAGGUGCUGUCUGGCCGAAGGUCGCUGCCGCCGGAGGCCGAGAUGCUGCGCUCAGCGGAGGAGAACAACCGCGCGAGGGGGAAGCACCUGGCGCACGACAUCCUCGACGACUAUGACUACUGCGACGACUUCGGGGAGAAGCACUGUGGGUUCCCGCGGCUGGAGGGCUGGAAGAAGGAGCUCCGUUGGUCGUCCCUCGCGAGGAGACACGACAGCACGGAGAGCUUCCGUGACGUCUACCACGACGACAGCAACUUGAUUCGGGAGGGCUUUCAAGCAUAGGGGCUCAGGCUCGCAGCACAAAAUUCUUAUUCCCUCCGUUCUUUUUUUUUUGAAGUUUUAGUUUAAAAUAAACUGUCCGACAAUAAAUAUUCGAGAACGAAAAUAUUAUUUCUUAAAUCUAUAAUGGAGCGAGAAAAAUAAAAUGGCCUUUAAGAUCAAAGAAAAAUUUGUUUUGUUGGAAACAAAACAAUUUCAUUGAGAAGACAUACUUGCACGAUAUUAUAAGCUCUAUUAUUAGGAUACAAAGAGCUAAGGCUAUUUACAACAGAACCCAAACGGACACGCGCAUAUGCAUUUUAUGCGAUAAUGAGCCACUCAACAGAGCGCGGACGAAAACAUAGAAAAUAUGUGCUCACGCUCCGUGUACCCAAAAAUCCGUGGACUUUAAGGGUCUAAUAUUAAAUCAAAUUUUAAUAUUUUCUCUAACAUUACAUCAGAUUCUAAUAUUUUAAAAAUUCAUAAUUAUCCCAAAAAAUAUUCAGAUAAGUUUUUUUUCUAAAAGAUCUAUAGUUUUUAUGAUGUUUAGUUGACCUCCUUGAACUAUCAAAGUCUAAUUUACUCCUCUUAUUGUUGGUGGUGUGGGGGCCAUGUAGGAUGACUAACGUGGCACCAUAUAAGAUGGUUGACAUGGCGCCACCUGGGCCAAAACCAUUGAAGGCAAAUUGGAUGGUUUUAAAAGUUAGAUGAGCCAAAAAUCUAGUUUGUUGGUUCAAAGAGAUAAAUUGGACUCACACAAUAGUUGAGGUAGGUUGAUGAACUUUUCACAAAAAAGAGUAGAGGAUUUUGGCUAAGAAUUUAAAUGGGAUUUGAUGCUACAUAGAUUAGAAAGGAUUUUGGAUUUGAAUAAAGUUGGUUUCAAAACGUUUGAUUUUUUCAGUUAUUUUGAAAAUCAUUUAGAAAUAUUUGGAACUUUGAAACUAUGAAUCAAAUUUUUCAAUAUGUUAUAAACUUGUUUGUGAGAUAUAAUUGAAUCUAGUUUUUAGAUGGACCAAAACUAUCUAAUUUUUAAAUUCACCUUCCAAACGUAACCAUAAUACAAAGCAUGAAUACAACAAACAAUUUAAAGUAAUUUCUAAAGAUAUAUGGAUAAAACUUUGUACCAGGUGAUAAUGGGAGCAAUCCUUAUAGGUGGGGCUCUAUGUCAUUAGGGACGACAACUUCAAAUUUUUGAAUUUAUGAUGUUUACUAGUUGCCAAUUAUGACAUGGUAAAGACGUAAAGUAGUUCACGCUAAAUAGAAUUGAACUAUUAGUGUCAAACAUCUCAUUUUUAUCACUAAGCUAUACUUCUUUCAACAAAGUUUCGUAAACUAUACUACUUUAGCGACAAUUUCAAUGGUUGCUUAUCAUAUUCAUCAUAAAAGGUCAUAUACGUAAUGUAUUGUAGUGUAUGAAAGUAAAGUGAUAUUUUCUUGUUAUGGAUCUGUUACAAUUAAAUAUGGUGCCAAAAUUAAGUUAUCGGAAGAUAAAUGGUUAAAUAAUGCAACCUAUGAGAACAAUAUCCUUGUAUACAAACAUCACUCAACACAAAACAAGCCAUGGAUAAGGGAUCUUGUAGGGACAAAAUAAAUAUUGAACGCAUGGUUUUGACUCACCGCGACUUUGUGCUAACACCAAAGUUAGAUGGAUUUCGUUAGAAUUUCAUCCUAAAUGAGCAUUUAUUAGUAAAAUCUAACCAUGUUGUUCUAGACCCCCUUUAACAAAUGACCAAAAAAGAAGGUGCCACUCAAAAUCAAAAUCUUCGUUUGGUACCAUAUAAUGUUUGAUACUAUUACUAAUGGGUAAUCUUGCUGGCGCAACUACCAAUGCAGCAAGAAUGGGUGAUCUUAUCACUAAGAUGAGAUAAUUAAUUAUUAAUUUUUAGAAUGAAAAAAUCUACUUAAUCUCUUUUGACUAUUGCUGGUUGCUUACUUCACCUUCUUACUUAUAAAACCGUUUGUUCCGCCCAUAAAUUAUUGAAAUGUCUCAAUAACCCUCUGGGUAGUUUUUAAGGUGAUUUCGCUGAUGUGGCAUAUUUAAAAGUUUACAUAACCCCAAAAAAAAUCAAGGGUUCAUAACAUAACCCGGUCAAUUACAAAACAUGAUACAAUAACCCUUAAGUAUGUAAUAGUGUACAAAUGAUUCUUCCUAGAUGGUUUUAUAUGGUCGUUUGGAUAUCAUAUUCCACCACAUUGGUGGCCUAACUACCCGUGUUUGCACGUAGGUCCACUGUCUGUGUGCAAGCAUGGGUUUUAAGCUAGCGUAGUGGGAUAUGCAUGGUGUUCAAACAUCCCUACAACACCAUCUAGGGUCAUUUCAAUACUAUUAGAUGCUUUUAGCGCUAUAAUAUCAUAUUUUAUAAUCGAGGUGUUGUAUUGUCAAACCUUGAUACGUUACACGGCUAUGUAGACUUUAUGUCACAUCACUGAAAUCACUUACAAAACCGCUUUAGCUUUAUUCAAGAUGAUUUUAAAGUUUAAGGAAUAGAACAUAUAUUUUAAUAGUUGAGAAGAUGAAGUAGACGGGCACCAGUAGUUUGAGGGAUUACAUAGACUUUUUCUCUUUAAAUUAUCUUACAUAUGUGCAGUAUAUGGUCUAUUAUCUUAAAAAUGAAUGGUUCUUUAAAAAUUAAAGCGAGAACUUUAACAAUUUUAGGGCAACAAAAGUGAGGCCAAAGACAGGUGGAUUCCAUCCACGACCCCGCCCCACCAUAUCGCCGCCGCCGCGGUGAGGUCGUGACGCGUCCGGUGAUCGUGGCGCCGACCAAGGACCUGACCAUCGUUCGUUCUCCGCGACUAAUGAGGCGUGGUUAAGAAUGGCAAUGUGUAUAUAUCCGUCAGGUACUACCAUUACAUACCUGUACCCAUCAAGAAAUUUAUACCCGUCAGGUUACCCAUAUAUAUACAUGGGUAUAAAAUUUUAUCUAUAUCCGUACGGGUAAUUUUACCCGUCGGGAAAUCCAUACCCGCUAGGAAGGUCUAAAAUUUUAAUAUUCCAAUCACCCAAAAUGUCAAAUAAACAUAUAAAAUUAAGUUCAACUUAAAAUAUAGCAUACACUAGUAGAAAAGAGCUCAUAGCCUGCGGCACCCAUAAAUUAUCACUGGCGGUUUCAGUUAUCGCGCGCCAGUAAAAAAACAAGGUGGGCCCGGCUUAGGAACCGCCAGUGGAAAUAGGUUUCCACUGGCGGUUAUCUUAACACAACCGCCAGUGGAAAUAGGGUAUUUCCACUGGCGGUUGGUGUAACAGAACCGCUAGUAGAAACCAAUUUCCACUGGCGGUUGGUGUAACAGAACCGCCAGUGUAAAUACCCUAUUUCCACUGGCGGUUGUGUUAAGAUAACCGCCAGUGGAAAUAGGUUUCCACUGGCGGUUUUUCAAGCCAACCGCCAGUGAACUGUCUGUUAUAAAUACCUCACUUCUUCCCCGCGACAGUGAACUGUAUGCUCGCAGCCAGCUUUCAUUGGAGGCGAUUUUGGAGGUCCAGAUUUCACAAAAAUAUAAGGGGGGAGGUUUUGGUCUUCAUUUCUUGGAAGAAGGUGGAUAAGAAAGGUUGGUUUAUGUUUCUUUGUCAAUUUUUGUUCAUUCUUGCUCAAUUUUAGCCACAUUUUGGAUCUAGGGUUUUACAUGUGAGAGAGAAGAGUAUAGCUAGGUAAUUUUCUCUAUUUCCUCAAAUGAGGUUGGAUAAGAUGGUUAGUUUUUGUCUAUUCCCUCACCUUUUUCAUGUUUAGUUCUCAAAUAAGUUUAUCCAUAACACAUAUUUAGUUGCUUAAUGAAUGGUGAAUGUGUUGUAUGGAAGGUUGGUUUAAUUAUGUUUCAAUUGUCAGUUAUUGUUUAUUUUUGCUCAAUUUUAACUACAUUUUGAAACUAGGCUUUCACCAUGUGUUAGAGAUAGGUUUGGGUAUUAAAUUUUUUUGUUUAUUAGUUGCUAGGAAAGUUUGGCUUAUGUUUCUUUUGCCAAAUUUUGUUCAUUUUUCCUCCAUUUUAGCCACAUUUUGGAUAUAGGGUUUCACCAUGUGUUAGAGAUAAAGUAGUCUAACUACUUUUAUUGCAAGAGAUAAAGUAGUCUAACUACAUUUUUGUUAGCGACAAACCGAAGCAUGUAAUUUUACACGACUUUCUAGAGAGGAGAGGGAGAGGGAGAGAGAGCUAUUGUUGCCAAUGCGCUCGGAGCAGGUGCAGCACUUACCGUCCGUGCGGAUGCAGCACUUUGCACAUCCAGAAUGCCCGUUCUUGCACUGAUUUUACACAGAGCAGAGCAUCAUGCUGGAGUCUACCGAUCAAUAUGUAUUGUAUAUAUACAUGCAUGGUAAUCUGACUUGCCAUGAAAACUUCGGACUGGAAGGGUAGGCAGCAGAUGUCGCACUCCAACGCGUCCUUCUCCAUGGAUAGUGUCACAGUCGCCUCUUCCUCAUCCUCCAACCCCGCCUCUUCCUCAUCCUCCAUAGAGAAGCCGUGGUCUUUUUCCCGGUCAUGGUUUAUCACCUAGAACGCAAGGUAAAAUAAAAGCAGGGAGGACUAUUCGACUAAUAUAUACAUAUCAGGCAGUAAGAAACAAGCAUCAUCUUCAAAGAACAUGUUGUGAAAGAACUUGGAAAGAUGUUUACCAGAUCUGAUACUUGUGAAAGAACUUCACACCAAUGGUGAUGAGAUACGCGAAGCCAGGAGACGACGUAGUAUUUAAACACUGCAAGAGGAGAGAGAGAUAGAGGAGAGAGAGAGAGAGAGAGGAGAGAGAGAGGAGAGAGAGAGAGGAUAGAGAGAGAGGAGAGAGAGAGAGAGGGUUUCACAUUUUAGCCACAUUUUUGGAUAUAGGGUUUCACCAUGUGUUUUAUGUUACUUUUUUACAGGUGAUGAUGGAGAGGAUAUCCUGGAUGUAUAACUUAUCAAGGCUAGAUCCAUCAUACAUAUCUGAGGUCCAUAAGUUUAUUGUUGUCGCUAAGAACCAUGCUUGGAGAACAAAGACAAAGCACAUAUAUUGUCCAUGCAUGGACUGCAAAAAUGCUGUUGUAUUUGAUGACACAGAACAAAUCAUAUCUCAUCUGGUAUGCCGAGGAUUUGUGAAGGAUUACAUAAUUUGGACAAAGCAUGGAGAGGGUAGCUCUUCGCCUUAUACAGCUGGAAACCCUGCGAACAUCGACGACAGCUUUCAGUUCGUUCACGAGACACAACAACCUCUUCCACAGAGCAAACAUGUAGUGCCAAAUGUUACUGAUCAUGGUUACGCCGGAGGAAAUGAACGUGAAAUAACUCAUGUUCUGCCAAAUGUUAUGGACGAGGAAGAUGCAGAGUUGUUAGAGGCAAUGUUGCGUCGUCAUACAAAUCCAUCGAUGUUCUUCAUGAAAGGUAUGGAGUCCCUGAAGAAGGCAGCAGAAGAGCCUUUGUACGACGAGUCUAAGGGCUGUACCAAAGAGUUCACGACGCUCUGGUCUGUGUUAAAGUUGUUGAUGUUAAAAGCUAGAUCUGGUCUGUCUGAUGCUGGCUUCGAUGUGUUCUUGAGUAUUGUCGCAGACAUGCUUCCAAAGGAGAACAAAGUGCCUGCUAACACGUACUAUGCAAAGAAACUAAUCAGUCCACUCACUAUGGGCGUGGAGAAGAUCCACGCGUGUAGAAAUCAUUGUAUCCUUUAUCGAGGUGAUGAUUAUAAAGACUUGGAGAGCUGCCCAAACUGUGGUGCAAGUAGGUACAAGACGAAUAAAGACUAUCGAGAGGAAGAGUGUGUUGCAUCUGUGUCUAAAGGGAAGAAGCGAAAGAAAGCCAAAAAAAGACUUCAAAAUCCACGAGCAAAGAAAAAGAAGAAGUAGACUAUUAUGCGCUCAAAAAGAUUCCUGCUUUGGUGAUGUGGUACCUCCCCGUCGUCGAUCGAUUGAGGUGUUUGUUUGCUAACCCUGAGGAUGCCAAACUUAUGAGCUGGCAUGCUUCUAAUGAGCACAAAAACGAUGGGAAGCUUCGACAUCCAGCCGAUGGGAAGCAGUGGCAAGAUUUCAAUGAGAACCACCGAGACUUUGCCGAUGAACCAAGAAAUGUUAGGUUCGCACUGAGUACUGAUGGAAUGAAUCCAUUUGCUGAAAGGAGCAGCAAGCAUAGCACAUGGCCAGUGAUCCUCACCAUAUACAACCUUCCUUCAUGGUUGAUGCAGAAACGAAAGUACAUUUUGCUAACCAUGCUUAUUUCUGGACCUACACAACCUGGAGUUGAUAUGGAUGUAUUUUUAGAGCCCUUAAUGGAGGAUAUGAAAUAUUGUGGGUAACGGGUGUUCAAAUGUUGGAUGAGUAUCGUAAAGAUUCAUUCACGCUGAGAGCAAUUAUUUUUGUUACGAUCAACGAUUACCCUGCACUCUUCACAUUAUCAGGCCAGUUUAAGGGAAAGGUUGGUUGCACAGUAUGCAUUGAUGAAACUGCUUACGUGUCCCUUACUGCAUCUAAGAAGAUAGUAUACAUGAGGCACAGACACUUUUUAUUGGAAGGACACAGGUACCACAUGCGAAAGAUGGAUAAGUACUUUGACAAUAAUGGUGAACUACAUUCUACUGCUCCAUCGGGUAACAAUAAAGGUCAUAGAGUUUUUGAAAUAGUCAAGAAUAUCAAGUUUGUUUUCGGGAAGAAGACAAAAGACGGAAAAACAAGGAAAGAUGUCAAACCAGCCCCGGGGGCUAUAUUCAAGAAAAAGUCUAUUUUCUUUGAGUACUUGCCUUACUGGAAAGAGUUAGAUGUGCGACAUGCGAUCGAUGGUAUGCACGUUCAGAAGAACGUGUUUGAAAGCAUAAUUGGCACCUUGCUAGACAUAAAGGGCAAAACAAAAGAAGGGCUCAAUUCACGCAUGGACUUGGUAAAUUUAGGCAUAAAAAAGGAACUACAUGCUGUUCUUCAAGAAAAUGGGAAGUAUCAUCUCCCAGCAGCAAGCUACAAUCUCAAUGUAGAUGAGAAACAUGCGAUGUGUGUUUGGCUUAAGAAUUUGAAAGUCCCAUCCGGAUUCUGCUCUAGCAUACGAAGUAUUGUGUCAAUGAAAGACCUGAUAGUCACCAACUACAACUCACAUGAUUGUCAUGUCAUGCUGACUACAUUCCUACCUAUUGCCAUCAGGGCUAUAAAUCCUUUGUUUUUAAAGAUGGCAAUCACACGAUUGUGCUACUUUUUCAACAGAAUUUCACAAAAGGUAAUUGACCGUGAUGAGUUGGCAUCUCUUCAGGAAUUUGCAGUGGAGACAAUAGCACAGUUUGAGAUGUGUUUCCCUCCAUCGUUCUUUGAUAUUAUGGUGCACCUUGUGGUGCACUUGGUGCCACAAAUAGAGGCAUUGGGUCCUAUGUACUUGCAUGAAAUGUGGACGUACGAGCGUUUCAUGUCAAUACUGAAUGGCUAUGUAUCAACCCGUGCUCGUCCCGAGGCAUCCAUGAUAGAGGGGUACUGUACCGAAGAGGCCAUUGAGUCCGGAGGCCCAUUCUGCAAUAGUAUCCUAAAAGAUCAGGUUGCAAUAGGUCUGCCUCCGUCACGACACGAGGGUAGAUUGUAUGGAAGCGGGAGGAUGGGACGGAAAUCUUUCAUCCCACCAGAUUACAAUACAGUACUUGAGGCACAGCACAGCAUUCUACAUCAGCUAGCGAUAAUAGAGCCAUUUAUCCAACAACACAUCAAUGAGCUUCACGAGCAAAAUCCUGGGCAUACGGCUGAUUGGGUAAUGAAGCAACAUAAGCAGCGGUUCAACACAUGGCUAAUGGUGAAGGACAUUCCACGUCGAGAAACAAUAGAAGAAAAAACCAUCAAGGGGUUGGCAUCUGGACCUUCACGCCAGGUCACAACAUGGCAAACCUAUGACAUUAGUGGAUUCACAUUUUGUACAAAGUCCAAGGACAAAAAGAGCAUGUCACAAAACAGUGGUGUUCGAUGCGAGGCCAUAGAUGAUGAAACUGGUGAGAUUAUUACAUAUUUUGGCUUUAUUGAGGACAUAUGGGAAAUAGACUAUGGUACAUUUCAGAUCUCGGUUUUCUGAUGUCAAUGGGUUGAAGACAAACAUGUCACGGUAGACAACUAUGGUGUCAGAGUUCUUGAUCUAAGUAAGGUAGGUUACAAAGAUGACCCAUGGAUCCUUGCUAAUCGUGUUGCACAGGUCUUCUAUGCUGAACAGAUCAUUUCUAACAAUGAGAAGAAAAGCACCGAUAAACCGAAGCAUGUAGUUUUUCCUGGAAAACAACAAGCUAUAGGAGUUGAUGGUGUAUCUGAUUUAGAGGAUUUUAACCAGUUCAACGACAUGUCUCUUUUCAUAGACCAUCCAACCAAGAUAAGGAACGUUGAGCGAAGCAUCCCACGCAAUUCGAUGCCCUGGGUACGCCACGACGGACAAGGCAGAACAAUAGCUCCCUAGAUUAUAUAGUUGUCAUGUAAUUGAUUAUUGUUAGGACAUGUCAUGUAAUUGAUUAUUGUUAGCGACAAACCGAAGCAUGUAAUUUUACACGACUUUCUAGAGAGGAGAGGGAGAGGGAGAGAGAGAGCUAUUGUUGCCAAUGCGCUCGGAGCAGGUCCAGCACUUACCGUCCGUGUGGAUGCAGCACUUUGCACAUCCAGAAUGCCCGUUCUUGCACUGAUUUUACACAGAGCAGAACAUUAUGCUGGAGCCUACCGAUCAAUAUGUACUGUAUAUAUACAUGCAUGGUAAUCUGACUUGCCAUGAAAACUUCGGACUGGAAGGGUAGGCAGCAGACGUCGCACUCCAGCGCGUCCUUCUCCACGGAUAGUGUCACAGUCGCCUCUUCCUCAUCCUCCAACCCCGCCUCUUCCUCAUCCUCCACCACCACCUUGGCUUUCUUUGGAGUUGAAAGGGAAUUAGGCUUACACCUAGUUCCUAAAUAAUUUUGGUGGUUGAAUUGCCCAAUACAAAUAAUUGGACUAACUAGUUUGUUCUAGUGUAUAAGUUAUACAGGUGCUAAAGGUUCACUCUUAGCCAAUAAAAAGACCAAGAGUUGGGUUCAACAAAAGAGCAAAGGGCCAACCGAAGGCACCUCUGGUCUGGCACACCGGACUGUCCGGUGUGCCACCGGACAUGUCCGGUGCACCAGAGGACUCCAACUCGAACUCGCCACCUUCGGGAAUUUCCAGAGGCACUCGCGCUAUAAUUCACCGGACUGUCCGGUGUACACCGGACAGUGUCCGGUGCGCCAAGGAAGAGCGGCCUCAGGAACUCGCCAGCUUCGGGAAUCUCCAACGGCUAGUCCGCUAUAAUUCACCGGACAUGUCCGGUGUGCACCGGACUGUCCGGUGCAACUCCGGAGCAACGGAUACUUCGCGCCAACGGUCACCUGCAGGCACAUUCAAUGCGCGCCAGAAGCGCGCAGAAGUCAGGCACGCCCAUACUGGCGCACCGGACAUUGAACAGUACAUGUCCGGUGUGCACCGGACAUCCAGGCAGGCCCACAAGUCAGAAGCUCCAACGGUCGGAAUCCAACGGAACUGGUGACGUGGCUGGGGCACCGGACAUGUCCGGUGUGCACCGGACUGUCCGGUGCGCCAUCGAACAGACAGCCUCCACCAACGGUCAAGUUGGUGGUUGGGGCUAUAAAUACCCCAACCACCCCACCAUUCAUUGCAUCCAAGUUUUCCAGCUUCCAACCACUAUACAAGAGCUAGCAUUCAUUGCAAAGCACACCAAAAGAGAUCAAAUCCUCUCCCAACUCCACACAAAGCUUUAGUGACUAGAGAGAGUGAUUUGUAGUGUUCAUUUGAGCUCUUGCGCUUGGAUCGCUUCUUUUCUUUGGCAUUCUUUCUUGUGAUCAAACACUCACUUGUAAUUGAGGCAAGAGACACCAAUCGUGUGGUGGUCCUUGCGGGAAGUUUGAUUCCCAAGUGAUUUGAGAAGAGAAGCUCACUCGGUCCGAGGGACCGUUUGAGAGAGGGAAGGGUUGAAAGAGACCCGGCCUUUGUGGCCUCCUCAACGGGGAGUAGGUUUGAGAGAACCGAACCUCGGUAAAACAAAUCCACGUGUCUCACUUUAUUAUUCGCUUUCGAUUUGUUUUGCGCCCUCUCUCGCGGACUCUAUUAUAUUUCUAACGCUAACCCGGCUUGUAGUUGUGAUUAUUUUGAGAAUUUCAGUUUCGCCCUAUUCACCCCCCCUCUAGGCGACUUUCAGGAGUGCCACCGUCAGAGGAAGAGGCAAAAUAAAAGCAGGGAGGACUAUUCGACUAAUAUAUACAUAUCAGACAGUAAGAAACAAGAAUCUUCAAAGAACAUGUUGUGAAAGAACUUGGAAAGAUUUUUACCAGAUCCGAUACUUGUGAAGGAACUUCACACCAAUGGUGAUGAGAGACGCGAAGCCAAGAGACGGCGUAGUAUUUAAACAACAUGUUCUUCGAAGAGAGAGGAGAGAGAGAGGGAAGAGAUAGAGGAGAGAGAGGAGAGAGAGGAGAGAUAGAGGAUAGAGAGAGAGAGGGAAGAGAGAGGAGGGAGAGGGGAGAGAGAGGAGCUAGGGAGAGGAGAGAGAGAGGAGAGAGAGAGGAGAGAGAGAGAGGGAAGAGAUAGAGGAGAGAGAGGAGAGAUAGAGGAGAGAGAGGAGAGAUAGAGGAGAGAGAGAGGGAAGAGAGAGGAGGGAGAGGGGAGAGAGAGAGAGGAGAGAGAGAGAGGGGAGAGAGAGAGGAGGGAGAGAGAGAAGUAAUAUAUAAAUAUAUAUAUUAUGUAUACUAAAUAUAUAUAUAUAUAAUUAAUAUGUAUAAAAAUAUAUAUAAUUAAUGUAUGAAUAUACAAUAAAAAAUAAUAUACUAAAAACAUUACUACUGGCGGUUCACAACGAAAACCGCCAGUAUAAAUUAUUUCUACUAGCGGUUGUCGAUGAAAACCGCCAGUAGAAAUGGCCUCCACAGUCUGUGGAUGGCAUUUCUACUGGCGGUUCUCUAUGACAACCGCCAGUAGAAAUGAUUUCUACUGGCGGUUUUCGUUGUCAACCGCCAGUAGAAAUAUCUCCUAUAUAAAGGAGCGCGCGCGGGGCCGAAAAAUUUCGCUAAGUCUCUGGCGCCCUGUCUUUCCAUCUUCCCGCUGUCAGGCUGCCAAAAAUUCGCCCGACGAUUUUCUCCGCCGUGCGCCGUCGUCGUUCACGCCGUCGUCCCCGCGCCGUAGGUAAGUUCUUCUCUCUCUCUAUCCCUUUCUUCGACUAUGAUCGCUCGGGCAUGCGCGCCGCCGCCGCCGUGCAAGCGCCGCCGUGCACGCGCCGCGGCUAAACCCUAAGCCUAGGAAGAGUGAGAGAGUGAGAGGGAAGAGAGAGGAGGAAGAGGGAAGAGAGGGAGACCCUGCACGCGUCUCUGCAGAGAGAGAGAGGGAGAGAAGAUAGAGGAGGGAGAGGGAAGAGAGAGGAGAGGACCUCUCCCUCCUCUCUCUUCUCUCUCUCUCCCUCCCUCCACUCUCUUUCCUCUCUCUUCCCUUUCCCUCUCUCUUCGGAGAGAGAGGGAAAGGGAAGAGAGAGGAAAGAGAGUGGAGGGAGGGAGAGAGAGAGAAGAGAGAGGAGGGAGAGGGAGUGUAUAUAUAGGAAAGAGAGUGGAGGGAGAGAGAGGGAAAGGGAAGAGAGAGGAAAGAGAGUGGAGGGAGGGAGAGAGAGAAGAGAGAGGAGGGAGAGGGAGUGUAUAUAUAGGAAAGAGAGUGGAGGGGGAGAGAGAGGAGAGAGGGGGAAAAGGGAAGAGAGAGGAAAGAGAGGGAGAGGGAGGGAGGGAAGAGAGAGGAAAGGGAGGGAGAUUAGAGAGAGAGAGAGAGAGGAGAGAGCAACGGAGAGAACAACAUAUUCUAUUGUAUUUUAUUGUAAACAACGUAUUCCAUUAUAAACAACAUAUUCCAUUGUAGUACUAUUAGCUAGUGAAAUUAGAAGACGACGUACGACACACUUGCGUUGUUUCGAUUAAGAGCAACUCAUCAGAACCCCACUUGACCAGAGCGAGUUCUCAUCACCUCUCUCCCUCUCUCUCUCUAUACGUUCUAUACGACUCUCCAUCUCCCUCUCUCCCUCUCUAUACGUCCUAUACGACUCCUCCUCUCUCCCUCUCUCUCUCUAUACGUUCUAUACGACUCCUCCUCUCUCUCUCUCUAUGCGUUCUAUACGACUAUACGUCCUAUACGACUCCUCUCUCCCUCUCUCCCUCUCUAUACGUUCUAUACGACUCUCCAUCUCCCUCUCUCCCUCUCUCCCUCUCUCCCUCUCUCUCUCUCUCUAUAUGUUCUAUACGACUCUCCAUCUCCCUCUCUCCCUCUCUAUACGUCCUAUACGACUCCUCCUCGAUAAGGGUUAGGGUAUUUGUUAAUACAAAUUUAAUUAUUGCUUAUGUUAAUAUGUAGCUCAAUGAGUUCUCCAACCAAGGACCAAGGAUUAGGGCCCGACCACAUGGACAAGAGUGUUGCUCAAGAAGAAUCCAGCAGUGAAGGAUAUGAAACGCCUAGCGACCCUUUUCCUACCACUAGGAUAGAUAAAGCCGCUGCGCGUGAGUUGCAACGUGACCCUACUUAUGAUCCACAAGAACAUGAGGUAAAUUACACAUCCUUAAUUUCGUGUGUGUACCUAAUUAAUUAGCUGAUUUCACAAUGUCUAUUACACAUGCAUGAUUUCUUGUGCAUUUUAUUACAUGAAUAUGAGGUCUUGUCUGAAUUUCGUGCGAUGCUCGAAAAAGCUGCGGCACGAUACCAAGACGCACCGGAACCGAUCCAAGGCGCACCGGAACCGACCCAAGGCGCACCGGAAUCGACCGAGACAACCACCGAGAGGUCAAGGAAAAGGAAGCAGAGCGAUCGGAACAGAGGUGACAGGGGGCUAAACAAGUUUCCUGAUAAGAUAUAUAAAAUCACAGACGUGAGCCCGAAUGGUCAGCCCCUAGCUCCAGAAGAGGCACUGCCUAAGUUUCGGAAUGCACUUGGGUUCUUAGUUAGAGAUAAUCUUGACAUCACAAUCCGACAGUGGAGAGAUGUAUCAGAUGAUGUCAAGAAUCAAAUGUGGAAUAAGCUAGUAACGAGGUUCGUUUUGCCUGGGGGUUCAGAAGAACUCGUGAAAAAAUACACGAUGAAGCAGUUUGCAAUAAAUUUCCGAAACUGGAGGUCUGAGAUGAAUACAAAGUUUGCAAAGAAAGGCCUAGACCCGACGAAAAAAUAUAAAAUCUCAGCAGGUUAGUGGGCAGUAUUUCUAGAGCAGAGGAGCAGCCCUGAUUUCAUAUCGCUAAGUGAGGCAAAUUCAGAACUGUCUAAGAAGAACAAAUACCGCCACCACCUUGGCACAGGUGGUUACAAGCGUCAGGUUCCUAAAUGGAGACAAGAAGACGCCGAGAAGAAGGCUGCAGGGUUGCCGACGCUGUCCGAGCAACUCGGUGAAAGGACAGCUAAUUGGAUCCGUGCUAGAAAACCAAGGGAAACUGAGUCUGGUGUAUCUUUUGAUGAUCCCGCUGUCGAAGAAGCGGCAAAAAACAUAUAUGCAAUUGCAGCUAAGCAGAGCGAAGGAACAUUUAAGCCGCAAAGGGAGAAAGACAUUCUAACGGCUGGUCUCGGUAACCCUGAGCAUCCUGGUCGUGUAGGAGGAAUAUCAUCUAAGGAAGGAUGGAAGGAAGGAUUCGGACCAUAAUGGGAAGGUCUGUACAAGAAACGUGAUCGAUACAAGGAAGAGAUGGCAAAUUAUUUUAAGGAGGAGGCCAAGAAAGAGUUUAAAGGCCUGAUGUCUGAAAUGCUAUCGAAUCCUCCUCCAGAAUUGAUGCAGCAAUUGGCGAUGGCGAGUGCGAUGUCUGUUCAACAGAUGACCACUCCACAGAUGCAAAUAAUUCCAGCAGCUCAAACACCGGCUGCCACCGAGGGUACGACCAUCCCAAGCUCUGUCGCGUCAACGGGAAAUAAGGUCCGCUAUCCAGUUGAUGACAUCACAAGGCCUGUGGCAUGCACACUAGUUAUAAGAUAUGGUAUUAACAAUCAGCGUACAAGGAAAGUAGCCACAGGCCUUGCGAUCCCAGGACGCAAGUUCCAUGGAAACGACAUUCCAGAAGAAUAUUGCAGGGUAGAAGUGACAACAGUCGUCCAAGGAUACGAGGAUGACAUGCUAGACAUCCCUGGGCCCGAAGGUAUCGAGACACUUGGACAAGCUAUCAAGAAUUUUAUCCUUUGGCCUCGAAGGGAUGUCGAAUUGGUUGAUUGGUCGAUUUCGUCGCAGGCCCAACCGUCUCCGCCUUCUCAAAUUGUUGUUCCUAUUGUACAUCCAUCAUCACCUCCUCAAACCUCACAUGCUGCUCCUCAUCCUCUUUCUGACCCUCCUUCUCCUCAUCCUCAUGGUGGCCCACCGUCUCCGCCACAUACAUCGCCCUUCAGGGAUCCACCUUCUCCACAGCCAUCUCCACGACCAUCAAAGAAAUCUAAAGUUUCUAUACCAAAAGUAGUGUCCCCGUAUGAUAAGAAAAAGAAGAGUAAAUCCACUGCUGGCACUGUUCGUUUUUUGAAAGGGAUUGGACGGAGCCUCAUGUCAGACAAUGUUGAUUUGGCCGAUCUCGAGGAGUCCGCAAAAAAGGCUGAGGCAAUGGCCGCAAAGAUAAAGAAGCCAACUAAGGCAGAUUAUAAAAACGUGCCUAAAAAAUAUGUGUCGGGCAGACCACUACUCACUUUUGAGAAACUAAGGAAGGUCCCGGCUAAUAUUAAAAGGUUGCAUGAUUGGUACAUGCGGGCAUCUUCAGUUGACAUCGACACCAUCAGUGUUAAUAUACCAGCCCAUGCUUUUAUUGGUUCAAAUCAAAAAGCCGUUGUUACAUUCGAGGACAUGUGGUUAAUGAUGAACCUUCAGAGACUCGACGUGCAACUUGUAACCAUAUUUGCAUUGUAAGUGUCACUCAUACUCCACAUAUAUGUGUUAUUAUUAGUGAGUUGUAUAAAUUUUCAAUAUCUGACAUGCACGUGUGCGUUGCAGAAUGCAACAUGAUCAGCAGGAGAUCCUUUAUAGUACCAAUCCCAAUGCUAGUGCCAGUAAAAGGGUUGGGUAUCUCAACCCAAUAAAGAUAUGCGAGGAUAACCACACUUUUAAAAUCGGAAAAGGCAACGAAGCAUUACAGGGGCUAACAGACGAAGAAAUUGAGGUGCGUAUCCAGGAUCUGAAGAAGGAUUUUGAAGCAAGAUACGCCACCUACAUAGGACACGCAAUGCUUCAAUUUCAAGACAGGGAAUCCAUAGUGGCCCCGUACAACUUUAAGUAAGUGUGAUUUUGCAUAAAUAAAAUUAAUAAUUUCAAUACACAUGUAUCACAAGUUUGAUUCGUACAGGGACCACUGGAUAUGCUUCUUCAUUUAUCCUAAGGUUGGAAAGGUGCUGGUGCUCGACUCCUUGCACACCGAGCCUUCGGCCUAUUCAAAAUUCCUCAGCAUCUUAGAGCUGUAAGCCUUUUCUAUGCAUGCAUACUUAUAUCGAUGAGAAUUGUAGAAUAACAUGGUGAUUCUAUUUGAGAUCACAGGGCAUUUAGGUUUUAUAAGCUACAAGGUGGAAAGUACGACACGUCCAAAAAAGGCGUGCCACUAGACAUUCAUUAUAACUGGCCGGUAAGUAUGUGAAUUUAUGAAUACAUAUCAUACAUGUACGUACAUAAGACAAUGUUGCAACUAAAUAACCAAUCUCCCGUUAUGUAGUGCCACAAGCAACCACCCGGAUCGGUCCUAUGUGGGUUCUACGUGUGCGAGUUCAUGAGAAUGAACGGACGAUACAUCACGAACCCUCACAAGGUAUUAUUAGUAAUAGUCACGUAUGUAUUUAUGUCAUUAAAGAUGCAAAUGUGUUAUUAUUGAGUAUAAAUAGAUGAUGUUUAUAAACUUCCUUUACAGCAAUUUCAACAAGGAAGCCCGGAGAACUUGACUGAAGGUGCAUUGUAUGGCAUAGUUGAGGACCUGUGCACAUUCAUAUUGAAAGAGGUCAUUCCCGCAGAAGGGAAAUAUCACGAUGCUUCUGGAACAUUAGCUUUGCCAGAGUUUAGAAUACUAACAGAAAUUAGUAGACUAUCUCUUAGCCGAGAUAGUUAUUAGAGCUUAAGUGAAAACUUUGAUGUAUAUAAUGUGUGAUGCAUACAUGGUUGUAAACAAGACUUUGAUGUAUAUAUAUGUAUGAUAGAAUUUAAUUCCAUGUUGCUUUUAAUAUCAAUAUUACAUGUUUAUCAAUAUCAAUAUAUAUAUAUAUAUAUUAAUAUCAAUACUACAUGUUUAUCAAUACUACAUGUAUAUAUAUAUUUUGUGUAUGUAAAUAUAUAUAAAUUUCAGUACUGAUUGAAAAUUUUAAAAAAGGCGGGAAAACUUUCCACUGGCGGUUUUCUUUAUAAAACCGCCAGUGAAAAUAGCAUUUCCACUGGCGGUUGCUUAAGAAAACCGCCAGUGAAAAUAGCAUUUCCACUGGCGGUUGCUUAAGAAAACCGCCAGUGAAAAUAGCAUUUCCACUGGCGGUUCUAGAAUAACCGCCAGUGGAAAUGACGAUUUCCACUGCCCCCUAGCACUGGCGGCACUGAAAAGCGCCAGUGAAAACGUCUCUAGAACCGCCACUAUAGAGGCUGUGUGUACUAGUGAUACCACAUGAUUAUAUAACUUGAUAGUUAAACAAAUAGUAUCUAGAGAAGGAUUUUCUUUUAGCUAAUAUAUACUUUAUUAUUGAUAAUAGUGUGUAUGAUGUGGGUAGUACCCACCCAUACCUGUACCCAAAUACCCAACGGGUAGAGAUUCUUAUCCACUAACAUACCCGUCAGUAGAGAAAUUAUUCCAUAUAUGUCUUCAUAUGGGGUAAAACCCGUCGGGUUUUGGGGUUUCGGAUACCCAUUGCCAUCUGUAGGCGUGGUGCACAUCACAAUUUAUCGACAAAUGUGUUCUUAUUGAUAUAGCAGAAGAAAUACUAAGGGCAUGUUUGGUUCCUUUAGUCUAGGGACUAAAGUUUAGUCACUUUUGAUUGUAUGGACUAAAAGUAUAUUCAGGCUUGUUUGGUUCAAAUCCAAGGACUAAAGUUUAGUUAGAAGACUAAAGUUUAAUCCAUACCUUGUAUGGUUUUAGGGACUAAAAGUAUUCAAACACAUUAAAUGAAUCAUAAUAUGACCAUAAUACCCCUUAGCAUUCUCUUGACAUUAGUACAACUAAAAUAAAGAAGGGGCAAAAAGUGAAAUUUAUAUGCUUUAGUUCAUUUUAGUCACCCCUUGAGGAACUAUAGACUAAAACAGUUUAGUCCAUGUUUUAGUCUCACCGUUUGUCAAUUUAGUGACUAAAAGAUACUAAAAUGGAGUGACUAAUCGUUAGUCCCUCAAACCAAACGGGUCCUAAAUAAAUCAUAAGAAAACCAAAAUAUCUCUUAGCAUUCUCAUGUGAUUACUGUAUCUAAAAUAAAUGAUGGGAAAAAAGUGAAAUUAAUAUGGUUUAGUUCAUUUUAGUCAAUCCUUGAGAACUAGAGAAUAAAGCAAUUUAGUCUAUGUUUUAGUACCACUAUUUGGUAAUUUAGAGACUAAAUAAGACUAAGGACCCGUUUGGUUCCUUUAAUCCAGAGACUAAAUUUUAGUUAGAAGACUAAAGUUUAGUCGCUAUCCUGUUUGAUUUUAGGGACUAUAAAUAUUCAAAACACAUUAAAUGAAUCAUAAUAGGACCAAAAUAUCCCUUAGCAUUCUCGCGUCAUUAGUGUAAUUGAAAUAAAGAAGGGACAAAAAGUAAAAUUUAUAUAAUUUAGUCCUUUUUAAUCACCCCUUAAAAGACUAGAGACUAAAAUAAAUUUAGUCUCUGUUUUAAUCCUAAUAUUUAGUAAUUUAGUAACUAAAUGAGACUAAAAUAGAGAUACUAGAUCUAACCAUGCAACGAAAAGAAACUAAAAACAGCCACGGACUUUGAAAACAAACUAACCCUAUCGAUAUCAUCUUUUUCUACUACUUGUGUUGGUGUGAGCCAGCCGGCCAGGGCCAGCCCUGUGCCUGCAACCCCUCCCGAACCAAGUCGCUGUCGCGGUACACGUCACGGAAGCUCUCCGAGUCCUCGCCCUCGCCCUCGCCCUCGCCCCUUUGUCUUGCUAUGGACGACCACCGGAGCUCCUUCUUCCAUCUCUCCAGCCGCGGGAACCCGCAGUGCUUCUCCCCGAACUCGUCGCAGUAGUCAUAGUCGUCGAAGAUGUCAUGCGCCAGGUGCUUGGGCACGCCGGCCACCAUCAUCUCCCUGGCUGGGUGGUGGUACCCCUCGGCUGCGCGCAUCAUCUCCUCCGACGACGGCAGCGCCCUCCGCCCCGACAGCACCUCCGCCACCCACCUCGCCUGCGUCUCGUAGAACCGUGGCACCACCACCCUCUUGGGCACGCCCACGAAGGACAGCGACGGCGCCAGCGCCGGCGGGAACGUGUGCUCGUACAGCGGGCCGACGCGGCUGCCGUCGUCGACGGUGACCAGGCCUCCCGUGUCCAGGAACGGGAACGAGUAGCCGUACCCAGUGCAGUAGACGAUGGAGUCGGCGACGACGCGCGAGCCGUCGGCGAACGUUACCUGCCCAUCCUCGCACAAGCGCUCGAUCUGCGAAGCACGCACGAAGCAGUCAACAAAGGCACGACGCUCGUGGACCAGAUUUCUCGACGAAGCAGAAAGCUGGGUUUAAUUUCCGUUGUUGUUGUAGCUAGUUUUGCCUGCGGGUGGAGGUGUAGGUUGUGGUGCCUGGACGCAGCUUUCCUCAUGCCGGGGGACACGGCGACGCCGUCGUCCACGGACUUGACGCUGACGUGCACGUCUCUCGCCACCGCGCGGAGCUCCAGCGCGAUGUCCACGCCGCUCGCGUGGCAUCCCACGACCACCACCGCUUCGUCUUGGAAGGAGUCCGGGACCCGGUACGAGUGGGAGUGCAGCUGCCUCCUGCUCCACUUGUCCAUGCCUAGACUAGCCAGCAGCAGCAGCAGCUCAGUUGACAAAGAAUCAGAUCUCAGUUACUGCACUUCUCGGCGACAUGUACGUAACGAUCGUUCAGAACCCACCGUUGAUCACGGGGAGCCUUGGCUGGGUGAACUGGCCGACGGCGACGACGACGGCGUCGAACGUCGUCUCCUCCGUGGUGACCGCCUCGCCGUCGCAGUCACCGUGUCUCGACGAGCACCUCACCGUCCACCGCGUCACGCUGCCGUCGCCGUGGCCGCGCGGCGCCGACGGGGCGACGUGCAGGACCUUGGUGUUGAGCCUGACGGCGUCCAUGAGCCCGAACGCGUCGCAGAAGCGCCUGAUGUACCUCAGGAACUCGGCGUGCCCCGGGUACCGCCGGGCGUCGCCGCCGGCACCGUCGUCGUCGUUGCCCGCGGGGUAGACGAAAGGGUAGUCGGAGAAGCCCAUGCUCUCCCUCGGCGUGUUGAGCCGGAGAGAGGCGUAGACGCUGCUGUGCGCGCCGGCCACGCCGAGGGGGUCGCUGGCGUCGGUCCGCGGGUCGUACAGCCACUGCCCGCCUACGCCGCCGCUCUGCUCCAUGACCGUCACGUCGUGGCCCUCCCGGCGCAACUCGCGGGCGGAGACCAGCCCCGAGACGCCGGCGCCCACUACGCAGACCUUCUUGGACGACCACGCCAUCUCGCCUCGAUCGCUACCGAGCCGAUGGUCCUGCAGAGGAGGCACGGAUGGCCGUCUCUAUUUUGAUCCCACUCACUUGGAGUCCUCAACUGCUCCUAGUAUUGUAUGAUUCAUGGAGCAGGCCAGUAAAAGGUAGCAAUUCAGUCCAACGAUGGAAUCAUAAGUUGGGUGCUCUUCGUAGGGCUCUUCGGGGGUGGGCAAGCCACACCAACGGGGUUUACAAAAGGAAGAAAAAGAGUCUGCAGUUAACAAUAAAUGAUCUAGACAUAGCCGCGGAAGUUAGAAACCUGACAGAGCUUGAAAGGGAACAACUAGCCCAAGCUCGAGAUGAUCUAGCUCGCCUCUUGAGAGAGGAGGAGAUCAAAUAUUUUCAGCGAGCUAAGGUGAAAGACAUCCUUCUAGGGGAUAAUAACACUAGAUACUUUCAGUUGAUUGCCAAUGGCAAACAUAGAAAGAAAAAAAUUAUUUCCUUGGAUCAUGACGACAGAAAGAUUGAGGGUCAGGCUAAUUUAAAAGGUUACAUAACUAACUUUUAUAAAGAACUUUUUGGGGAGCCUGAGGAGAGCCUUUUGACCUUAGAUGAUGAAGGGGUUGCUGAUAUAACACAAGUUUCAGAUCUUGAAAAUGCUCUUUUAACCUCUCAGUUUACUGAGAAGGAAAUCAAGGAUGCUUUAUUUCAGAUGGAGCACAACAAGGCACCUGGGCCUGAUGGCUUCCCUGCAGAAUUUUACCAGAAAUUUUGGGAUAUCAUCAAAGAUGACUUUUUACUCAUGUUUCAAGAGUUGCAUUCUGGAUACCUGCCAUUAUUUAGCCUGAACUUUGGUGUUAUCACUCUAAUACCUAAAGUUCAAGAGGCCAAUGUAAUCCAGAAAUAUAGGCCUAUCUGCCUUCUAAAUGUGAGUUUUAAGAUUUUUACCAAAGUCGCCACAAAUAGACUGAGCUUAGUUGCAGACAAAGUCGUGAGUCCAACGCAAACUGCUUUCUUAAGGGGACGAAACAUCCUAGAAGGAGUUGUCGUACUACACGAAACGAUUCAUGAGAUACAUAGAAAGAAAAUGAGUGGGGUUAUUUUAAAGAUAGAUUUUGAGAAAGCUUAUGACAAGGUAAAAUGGCCUUUUUUGCUCCAAGCCCUCCGGAUGAAAGGAUUCUCGCCGAAGUGGAUCUCUUGGGUAAAGUCCUUUAUUUCGGGUGGCAGCGUUGCAGUCAAUGUGAAUGACGAGGUGGGGAAAUUCUUUCAAACAAGAAAAGGGCUUCGACAAGGGGAUCCUUUGUCACCUAUCCUGUUUAAUAUUGUUGCUGACAUGCUUUCAGUCUUAGUCAAGAGAGCUAAGGAUCAUGGGCAAAUCGGUGGGGUAGUGCCUCACUUAAUUGAUGGAGGUCUAUCUAUCCUACAAUACGCAGAUGACACGGUCCUAUUUUUGGACAAUGACUUAGAAAAGGCUCGCAACAUGAAGCUAUUGCUUUGUGCUUUCGAGCAAAUUUCAGGGCUCAAAAUAAAUUUUUACAAAAGUGAGUUGCUUUGCUUUGGGGAUGCUCAAGAAUCCUUAGAAUCGUAUUUGGAACUGUUUGGCUGCAAACAGGGGGAUCUACCUUUAAAAUAUUUAGGCAUACCUAUCCAUUACAAGAAACUUCAAAACUCCGAUUGGAGAGAGAUUGAAGAACGAGUGGAGAAGAGGCUUGCUAGUUGGAAGGGAAAACUUAUUUCAAUUGGAGGUAGAUUGACAUUGAUUAAUUCAGUGCUUAGUAGCCUUCCAAUGUAUAUGAUGUCCUUCUUUGCGAUCCCCAAAGGCGUUCUUAAAAAACUAGAUUAUUUUCGCUCUCGUUUCUACUGGCAAGGUGACGAGAAUAAAAGAAAAUAUCGCCUUGUUAGAUGGAGUAUCCUAUGCCAGCCUAAAGAUCAAGGAGGCCUUGGGAUCCAUGAUUUGAGUAUUAAGAAUAUAGCCUUACUAAGUAAGUGGUUAUUUAAACUAUUAACAUCAGAUGGGACUUGGCAACAAAUUUUAAGAAAUAAGUAUUUGGGCUCAAAACCACUAGUCCAAGCCGAAUGGAAAUUAGGAGACUCACAUUUUUGGUCCUGUUUGAUGAAGGUGAAGCAAGACUUUCUUCGCUUUGGAACCUUCAAAAUUAACAAUGGGUCGCAGGUGAGGUUCUGGGAAGAUACGUGGCUUGGAGCAAAAGCUUUAAAAGACCAAUACCCUGGGUUAUAUAGUAUAACUAGAAAUAAGCACAUAACCAUUGCCGCGGUUCUAACGACAUCACAACCUAACAUCUCCUGGAGACGAACUUUGUUUGGGUCUAGAUUGGUGGCGUGGAAUGAAUUGCUUUCACGCAUCGCCAACAUUCACCUAACUCAGGAUAAGGACGCCUUCUGCUGGACCUUGUCCCAGUCAGGACAAUUCUCAGUAAAGUCUCACUAUCAAGCAUUGAUUAGGCGUGAGAUACCAAAUGUAAAUAAAAGAUUGUGGAAACUAAAAGCCCCACUUAAGAUCAAAAUUUUUUUGUGGUAUCUCAGGAGGGGAGUGAUACUAACCAAGGAUAAUUUAGCAAGGCGCAACUGGCUGGGAAACAAAACAUGUUGCUUCUGUCAUGAAAUAGAGACAAUUCAACACCUUUUUUUUGAUUGUCGGUUUGCCCGUAUGGUUUGGGCUUUAAUCCACAUGGCCUUCGGGAUAUCUAAACCAUAUAGUGUCUCUAAUUUGUUUGUUUCCUGGCUUAGUGGCUUUGAUAGAAAUAUUAGAAAUAUCAUCUUUCUUGGCGCAGCUACAACCUGUUGGUCUCUUUGGUUACACAGGAAUGAUAUCAUAUUUGAAAAGAAAAACAAUUCUUCUCCCUUGCAGGUCAUUUAUUCCAUUGCACAUUGGCUUCGAACAUGGGCUAUUUUACAGAAGGCGGAGUUGCGACCUAUGGUUGUGGAGGCUACGCAGUACUUGGUGCAGGUGGCCAUGGACUAUUUUUCCCGGGCUCAUGGGUGGCGGUCUAGUCUGCGGAUUGAUUACCAUUAGAGUGUGUGGAUUAUCAUCUUUAUUUUGUCUUUAAGCUGUGUGCUUCUUAAGCAGAGGCUGGAAGAAAUUUCAAGAAUUGUAUCCCCUCGAUGUAAUGUGCUUGAAAUUAUUAAUAAAAUCUUCCUUUAUCAAAAAAAAUGUCGACCUCUGCAAGCUCCUCGUCAAUAGAGAUUAGUUUCGUCAAUCAAUAUGUAUAAGCUCGUCAAUAUGUAACAUCACCAAGAUGUACAUGUACUUAUAUCCAGUGACUCAGCGACGUUUAUAGGAGGAUUCCAAAAGCACACAAAUAACAAAGAUCUAAUCCUAACAUAUAAUGAAGUGUCGGAGAGGGAAUUCUCCGGCCGGGUGUGGCGGAGUGCACCCGCCCUAAAUGCUAAGAUGAGGAGAGGGCUUAAGCGUUUUGCCUGUCUUGCUAAACGAUCAUCAAACACAUGAACACGCGAGGAUUUAGAGUGGUUCGGGCCGCCGGAGCGUAAUACCCUACUUCACUGUGUGUUGGAUUGUUAAGGAAGCUUGUGCUGUGUGUAAGCCUGAAUGACUUGAGUCUCUCUCGUUGCAUGUCUCCCCUUUUAUAGUUCAAGGGGGCAUGUACAAGGGUCCUGAGCCCCGACAUGUGGGCCAGGGACAAAUUGGAAGGAAAGAACUACUGCUUGCUACUCCAGGGUGAUCUGUGAAUGUCAUAAUAUCCGUAGUGCAUACAGUAUUGAUAUCUCGCGGCAUCGUCCUCGGUAACGCGCGAGUCAUGAUGGAUACGGCGCAUGCGGCAGCACAGACGUAUCGUCAGCCAACGGGAAUAGACAGGCACGCCGCCUGUAGGAUAGCCUGGCCACCGCCUACCAGCUGAGUAGACAGGACACAUUAAAUGCUGAAGGGGCACAUCAGUUGCCAGCGGAAUAGAUAGGCGGCGUGUCUUCUCUGCAAUAAAUGCAGAGGCAGCGCGACCCAGAGGCCUUACGUCAGGCUCCGCCCGCAGGCUUACGUCACGGGUGGUAGACCAUGUGGCAGCAUCGGGUUCCCGUCUGGGUGGUGAGCAAUAGCGUUAUACGGACAGGUCCGCACCAGGCUGGGCCUGGACACGUGUCAGCACCGGACCACUGCCUGAGCAAGGGUCGGGUACCCUCUGCCUCAGAGUCCCGGGGCCCAGCUGUGGGUAAUCUGGUCCCUACGCAGAGGGGUCAGGGACCCGUCCCGGAGGCCUGUGUUGCACUCGCGGGGGUCCUGGACCUUGCUCCGGGGGUCCGUUCUUCAUGUACAGGGAUCCGACAUUUUCCGCAUGGGGGUCCGGACCCACUGUUGGCUUCAUGGAGUACGUCUCCUUUCCUGGCCAUGUGGCGCCCCCGGGGCCGCCCAUGUGGCGGGGCAGAGAGUUGUUUGCCACGCGACUAGAGGUAGUUACGCGGGUAUAGCGUCUUCAUUCUGUAGCAAGGGGUACCCCUGUUUCAGGGUACCGACAGUGGCCCCUAGGCCCACCUCAGGGGAGGAUGCGAGCCUGCAGGUGGGGCCAAGACCUGAUUGGCGUGCUAUUUUCGGGCACUUGCCGACGUAGCCACCGCCAACCCACCUUUGGUCACAUGGCCUGCCACGUCUUCCCCCGCAGCUGGUAGGUACGUGGCCCCCACGCCUGGCGAUUUCGUUGGGCCGCGAGCGGGACGUCUUACUACCGCCGCCUAAGUUAUAAAUAUCCUUCAGCGGCCUCUAGGCGACGUGCGGUCGUGCGUGACGGUUUUACCGCCGGGGGGACGGUCCGUCUCCUACGCACUCGGAGGCCGGUUCCCCAGGUGCGUGACAUGUGGACCCAGGCCCCUAUGUCGGGGGCUGGGUCCCUGCGAGCACUAGGUGCACGUUGGACGGGAUUGGGGCACGAGCGGGAGAGCCUUCUUUGAAAAGGGGACUCAUCUCGCGGCCAGUAGUUACGCUUUCGCACUUUCUUCAACUGCUGCGUCCUUUCUCCUCCGAGUCCUCUGUGCCCCUCUUGCACUCGCAUUUUUCUGCUUUUCGCCAUUGUAGUAGCCAUGGCUUCACUGGUUCAUCCCGAGCGUUACCAGACCAAGAGGAGGCUCGACACGGUGCACCGCCUGCUCGGAUGGAGUGCGCCGUCGCACGCCUCGAGGAUCCGGGCCGGCGCUACCCCCCUUGGUGAUCUUGCCGCCGGGGAGUUUGUGCUUUUGUCUCCUACCUUUCGUGUGGGCUGGCGUUGCCGAUCUCCCCCUUCUUCAUGUUACUAUUGGAGGAUCUCGGUCUCCAGCUCCAGCACCUCACACCCCACUCCAUCCUUCAGGCGGCCAUCUUCGCUCAUUUGUGCGAGAUAUUCGUGGAGGUGGUGUCGUGUACCUCUCUCUUCCGCCAUUUUUUCGUGCUGGUGAAGUCCGGGAAGGCCAAGGACCAUCUCGGAGCGUAUUACUUCCAGACGAGGGUGGAUUCGGUCGGCCUAUAUCCCCUCAGUCAGCGGAGCGAGGUGGGAAAACUGGCGGGCCGAAUGGGUGAUUGCCAGUACCAAGGUCAGCGACCGUCUCGUACUAUCGAUCGACGGGCCGAAGCUCGACAAGAAGCAAUGGAGGGCUAAGCCGCCGUUGACACCGGAGUUUGAGCCCGUGUUGGGCAGGAUCGAGUCCCUGACGACCGAUGGUCUGACGUCGAUGCACGUGGUCGGCGAUUUCUUGAAACACCGGAUCGCGCCACUGCAGGCGAGGGCACGCCUGAGCUGCUGGUUCACUGGCUCCAAUGACCUCGGCGGGGUCCAUCGUGGGCCAGGCACUGACCUGUCCUAGGAGGAACUGGAGCUCCUGGUGAAGGGAAUUACUGGUGAGUCCUUCGUUACCGAGUCCUUAAUUCCUCCCGAGGGCAUUCAUCCGCUUUGAGACGACCAAGGGUUGAGGGCAGCGAUCUUGGAUUGGCUGCCGACCCUCGAUAAGAGUGGCGUAGCGGUUUGCCAGACCGGCGGUCGGGAUCCCCAUCGCGGGAUUCAGAUCCCCAGUGAACUGGCUAGAGGUUCUCGGCCCGCCGACGCCGGCUCUGAGAGCACCUAGAGGGGGGGGGGGGUGAAUAGGUGAUCCUGUAAAAACUUCAAACUUAAGCCACAAAAACUUGUUAAGUGUUAGCACGAUUAUUGCCAAGUGGCUAAGGUGAAGUCUCAACAAUCUCAACAAAACACAGUACCACAAGAGAAUCAAGCACAGAGUGACACAGUGGUUUUAUCCCGUGGUUCGGCCAAGACCAACGCUUGCCUACUCCACGUUGUGGCGUCCCAACGGACGAGGGUUGCAAUCAACCCCUCUCAAGCGGUCCAAAGACCCACUUGAAUACCACGGUGUUUUGUUUUCCUUUCACUAUCCCGUUUGCAAGGAAUCUCCACAAAUUGGAGUCUCUUGCCCUUACAAGUAUAUGAUCACAAAUGAAACACAGAGUAAGGGAGGGAAGCAACACACACAAAUCCACAGCAAAAGCGCACACACACGGCCAAGAAUCGAGCUCACAAGACUAUCUCAGAGUUCUCACUUAGAACAGAGCUCGAAUCACUUAGAAACACAAACGAAUGCGCAGAGACUUAGUGUGGAUGAUCAAGAAUGCUCAAAGGUUGCUUGUGUGUCUCCUCCAUGCGCCUAGGGGCUCCUUUUAUAGCCCCAAGGCAGCUAGGAGCCGUUGAGAGCAAAUCUGGAAGGCCAUCUUUGCCUUCUGUCUCGUGGCGCACCGGACAGUCCGGUGCACACCGGACACUGUCCGGUGCCCGAUUUGUUUCCAUAGAAAGCGAAGCCGACCGUUGCCGACCGUUGCAGAUCUGGCGCACCGGACAGUCCGGUGCACACCGGACAGUCCGGUGCUUCCUUCCGACCGUUGGCUCGGCCACGUGUCGCGCGCCGAUCGCGCGGCCGACCGUUGGCCCGGCCGACCGUUGGCUCACCGGACAGUCCGGUGCACACCGGACAGUCCAGUGAAUUUUAGCCGAAGUCGCCGGAGAAAAACCCGAGAGCGGCCUCUUCGGCCGAGGCAGCCUGGCGCACCGGACACUGUCCGGUGCACCACCGGACAGUCCGGUGCCCCAGACCGAAACAGCCUCUUGGCUGUACACAGCCAAGUCUUCUCUUCUCUUCUUCUUUCUGUUUCUAACACUUAGACAAAUAUAUUAGUACACAAAACCAAUGUACUAAGGCUUAGAAACAUACCUUUACUUGUGAUUUGCAACUUGUCCAUCCAUGGGCAUAUUUUCACAUUUUGGCACCUGUGUUUGCACUUAAUCACCAAAAUACUUAGAAAUGGCCCAAGGGCACAUUUCCCUUUCAAUCUCCCCCUUUUUGGUGAUUUAUGCCAACACAACAUAAAGCAACUAGAACAAGUGCAAAAUCACUUCAAAUAAAAACUCAAAUUGGUUUUGAUUCAAUUUUGGCAUAUAUGGAUCAUCCUUUGCCACCACUUGGUUUGUUUUUGCAAAUCAAACUCAAAUCUCUAUCUAUAAGUCAAACACACAUAUUGAAGCAUAAAGAGAGUCAUUUCAAAAGAAUUUGACCACGGAUUUCAAAAACUCCCCCUUUUUCCCAUAAUCAACACUUCUCCCCACAAGAAGCCAACUUUUGAAAAUAGAGACAAUAAGAGACAAUAAAAGCUUUUGACAAAACAAAAACUCUAUUCUACUAUUUUCAAAAUCUCUCAAGUGGUAGCUGAUCCAUUUAUCGCUUUGGCCUUUAUUUUCUCCCCCUUUGGCAUCAAGCACCAAAACGGGAUCAAUCUUGGCCUUUUAACCUCAUUGCCUCACCAAAGUCUUCAAUUAAGAGCAAAUGGCAAUAAGAUUUCAUGAGAUGAACUUGGAAUUAGUUACCCUCUCAUCGGAGUGCAGUGGAAGUCUUUCAUGGUCCAAGUCCACCUUUUCCCUUUCAAUCCUCCUUCGAGACUAAAUUAUCAAACUCAAGCACAUGGUUAGUCUUAAAGGGUCAAGUUGUAACACAUCUCCCCCUACACAUGUGCAUCACUUUGCAACGGACUUGUGAGGUCCAGGGAGUGUUUGUACAACUUGAGCACCAUAAUAAGCAACAUAAUGCAAAAAGGAACAUGAUCAAAAGCAUAACUACAUGUAUGCUACAAUUCAAUCCAGGUUCCGCGAAUCUAAGACAUUUAGCUCACUACGCAACCUGCAAAAGGUCUUCUCAUCUAGAGGCUUAGUGAAGAUAUCGGCUAGCUGGUUCUCGGUGCUAACGUGAAACACUUCGAUAUCUCCCUUUUGCUGGUGGUCUCUCAAAAAGUGAUGCCGGAUGUCUAUGUGCUUUGUGCGGCUGUGUUCAACAGGAUUCUCCGCCAUGCGGAUAGCACUCUCAUUGUCACAUAGGAGUGGGACUUUGCUCAGAUUGUAGCCAAAGUCCCUGAGGGUUUGCCUCAUCCAAAGUAGUUGCGCGCAACACUGUCCUGCGGCAACAUACUCGGCCUCAGCGGUGGAUAGGGCAACGGAAGUUUGUUUCUUAGAGUUCCAUGACACCAGGGACUUUCCUAAGAAUUGGCACGUCCCCGAUGUACUCUUCCUAUCGACCUUACAUCCAGCAUAGUCGGAGUCUGAGUAUCCAACUAAGUCAAAGGUAGACCCCUUUGGAUACCAGAGCCCGAAGCAAGGCGUAGCAACCAAAUAUCUAAGAAUUCGCUUCACCGCCACUAAGUGACACUCCUUAGGAUCGGAUUGAAAUCUAGCACACAUGCAUACGCUAAGCAUAAUAUCCGGUCUACUAGCACAUAAGUAAAGCAAAGAACCUAUCAUUGACCGGUAUGCUUUUUGAUCAACGGACUUACCUCCUUUGUUGAGGUCGGUGUGUCCGUCGGUCCCCAUCGGAGUCUUUGCGGGCUUGGCGUCCUUCAUCCCAAACCGCUUUAGCAGAUCUUGUGUGUACUUCGUUUGGGAGAUGAAGGUGCCGUCCUUGAGUUGCUUCACUUGGAACCCAAGGAAGUAGUUCAACUCGCCCAUCAUCGACAUCUCGAAUUUCUGCGUCAUCACCCUGCUAAACUCUUCACAAGACUUUUGGUUAGUAGAACCAAAUAUUAUGUCAUCGACAUAAAUUUGGCACACAAACAAAUCACCAUUACAAGUCUUAGUAAAAAGAGUUGGAUCGGCUUUCCCAACCUUGAAAGCAUUAGCAAUUAAGAAAUCUCUAAGGCAUUCAUACCAUGCUCUUGGGGCUUGCUUAAGUCCAUAGAGCGCCUUAGAGAGCUUACACACAUGGUCGGGGUACCGUUCAUCCUCGAAGCCAGGGGGUUGCUCCACGUACACCUCCUCCUUGAUUGGCCCGUUGAGGAAAGCGCUCUUCACAUCCAUUUGGAACAACCUGAAAGAAUGGUGAGCGGCAUAUGCUAGCAAGAUUCGAAUUGACUCUAGCCUAGCCACAGGAGCAAAGGUCUCCUCAAAAUCCAAACCUGCGACUUGGGCAUAACCUUUUGCCACAAGUCGAGCCUUGUUUCUCGUCACCACCCCGUGCUCGUCCUGUUUGUUGCGGAACACCCACUUGGUUCCCACAACAUUUUGCUUCGGACGAGGCACCAGUGUCCAAACUUCAUUGCGCUUGAAGUUGUUUAACUCCUCUUGCAUGGCCAACACCCAGUCUGGAUCUAGCAAGGCCUCUUCUACCCUGAAAGGCUCAAUAGAAGAGACAAAGGAGUAAUGCUCACAAAAAUUAACUAAUCGAGAUCGAGUAGUUACUCCCUUGCUAAUGUCACCCAGAAUUUGGUCGACGGGAUGAUCCCUUUGAAUCAUCGCUCGAACUUGGGUUGGAGGUGCCGGUUGCACUUCUUCCUCCAUUACGUUAUCAUCUUGUGCUCCCCCUUGAUCACACGCCUCCUUAUGAUGAACCUGUUCAUCGUCUUGAGUCGGGGGAUGCACCAUAAUUGAGGAAGAGGGUUGAUCUUGCUCAUCUUGUUCCUGUGGCCGCACUUCUCCAAUCGCCAUGGUUCGUAUAGCGGCCGUCGGGACAUCUUCUUCAUCUACAUCAUCACAAUCAACAACAUGCUCUCUUGGAGAGCCAUUAGUCUCAUCAAAUACAACGUCGCUAGAGGCUUCAACCAAACCCGAUGAUUUGUUGAAGACUCUAUACGCCUUUGUAUUUGAGUCAUAACCUAACAAAAACCCUUCUACAGCUUUGGGAGCAAACUUAGAAUUUCUACCCUUCUUCACUAGAAUGUAGCAUUUACUCCCAAAUACACGAAAGUACGAUACAUUGGGUUUGUUACCGGUUAGUAGCUCAUACGACGUCUUCUUGAGGAGGCGAUGAAGGUAGACCCUGUUGAUGGCGUGGCACGCUGUGUUCACGGCUUCCGUCCAAAAGCACUCGGGGGUCUUGAACUCUCCUAGCAUCGUCCUCGCCAUGUCGAUGAGCGUCCUGUUCUUCCUCUCUACCACACCAUUUUGCUGUGGUGUGUAGGGAGCGGAGAACUCGUGCUUGAUCCCUUCCUCUUCAAGGAACUCCUCCACUUGAAGGUUCUUGAACUCGGACCCGUUGUCGCUUCUUAUCUUUUUCACUUUGAGCUCAAACUCAUUUUGAGCUCUCCUGAGGAAGCGUUUGAGGGUCCCUUGGGUUUCAGACUUAUCCUGCAAAAAGAACACCCAAGUGAAGCGGGAAAAAUCAUCAACAAUAACUAAACCAUACUUACUUCCCCCUAUGCUUAGAUAGGCGACGGGUCCGAAGAGGUCCAUAUGCAGUAGCUCCAGGGGUCUUGACGUGGUCAUCACAUUCUUGCUGUGAUGCGCUCCUCCCACCUGUUUACCUGCCUGACAAGCUGCACAAGGUCUAUCUUUUUCGAAAUGUACAUUUGUUAGACCUAUCACAUGUUCUCCCUUUAGAAGCUUGUGGAGGUUCUUCAUCCCCACAUGUGCUAAGCGGCGAUGCCAUAGCCAGCCCAUGCAAGUCUUAGCCAUUAAGCAUGCAUCUAGACCGGCCUCUUCUUUUGCAAAAUCAACUAAAUAAAGUUUGCCGUCUAGUACACCCUUAAAAGCUAGUGAACCAUCACAUCUUCUAAAGACAGACACAUCUACAUUUGUAAAUAAACAAUUAUAUCCCAUUUGACAUAAUUGACUGACAGAUAGCAAAUUAUAUCCAAGACUCUCCACUAAGAAUACAUUUGAUAUAGAAUGCUCAUUUGAAAUUGCAAUUUUACCUAGCCCUUUUACCUUGCCUUGAUUCCCAUCACCGAAUAUAAUUGAAUCUUGGGAAUCCUUAUUUUUGACGUAGGAGGUGAACAUCUUCUUCUCCCCCGUCAUAUGGUUUGUGCAUCCGCUGUCAAUAAUCCAGCUUGAACCCCCGGAUGCAUAAACCUGCAAGGCAAAUUUAGGCUUGGGUCUUAGGUACCCAACUCAUGUUGGGUCCUGCAAGGUUAGCACAAAUGUCCUUAGGGACCCAAAUGCAAGUCCUGUCUCCCUUGCAUUUUGCCCCUAACUUCCUAGCAACAAUUUUCUUAUCCUUUCUACAAAUAGCAAAGGAAGCAUUUAAAGCAUAAUAAAUUGUGGAAGGUUCAUUCACUACUUUCCUAGGAGCAUGAAUAGCAUUCUUUCUAGACACAUGAUGAAUAGUAUUUCUCUUAGGAACAACAUUUCUCCUAGUAACAUUUCUAUCAUACACAUAAGAGGAACUAGGAGCAAACAUGGCAUGAGAGUCAAAAUCAUCAAAAGCAUUAUAACUCCUAUAAGCAUUUCUAGUUUGUCUCCUAUCAUAAUACAUAAAAGCAUGGUUCUUUUGCACAUUACUAGCCAUAGGGGCCUUCCCUUUCUCCUUGGCGGGAAUGGGAGCCUUAUGGCUUGUUAAGUCCUUAGCUUCUCUCUUGAAGCCAAGUCCAUCCUUAAUUGAGGGGUGUCUACCAAUUGUAUAGGCAUCCCUUGCAAAUUUUAGCUUAUCGAAAUCAUUCUUGCUAGUCUUAAGUUGGGCAUUAAGACUAGCCACUUCCUUAUUUAAUUUGGAAAUUAAAACUAGAUGUUCACUACAGGCAUCAACAUCGAAAUCCUUACACCUAGUGCAAAUCUUAACAUGUUCUACACAAGAAUUAGAUUUAUUUGCUACUUCUAACUUAGCAUUUAAAUCAUUGUUAACACCUUGUAAAGUAGAAAUGGUUUCAUGACAAGUAGAUAGUUCAUAAGAAAGCAUUUCAUUUCUUUUUACUUCUAAAGCAUAUGAUUUUUGUGCCUCUACAAAUUUAUCAUGUUCAUCAUACAAUAAAUCCUCCUGCUUUUCUAAAAGCCUAUCCUUUUCAUUCAAUGCAUCAAUCAAUUCAUUGAUUUUAUCUAUCUUAGAUCUAUCUAAGCCCUUGAACAAGCAUGAAUAAUCUAUGUCAUCAUCACUAGACUCACUAUCACUAGAAGAAGCAUAAGUGGAGUCUUGAGUACUCACCUUCUUCUCCCUUGCCAUAAGACAUGUGAGACGCUCGUUGGGGAAGAGAGCCGAUUUGUUGAAGGCAGUGGCGGCGAGUCCUUCAUUGUCGGAGUCGGACGAGGAGCAAUCCGAGUCCCACUCCUUGCCUAGAUGCGCCUCGCCCUUUGCCUUCUUGUAAUGCUUCUUCUUUUCCCUCUUGUUUCCCUUUUCCUGGUCACUAUCAUUAUCGGGACAGUUAGCAAUAAAAUGACCAAGCUUACCGCAUUUGAAGCAUGAUCGCUUCCCCUUGGUCUUAGUCUUGCUCGGCUGUCCAUUGCGACCCUUUAGCACCGUCUUGAAUCUCUUGAUAAUGAGGGCCAUUUCUUCUUCAUUAAGACCGGCCGCCUCAAUUUGCGCCACCUUGCUGGGUAGCGCCUCCUUGUUCCCUGUGGCUUUGAGAGCAAAAGGUUGCGGCUCGUUGAUCGGUCCGUUCAACGCGUCAUCGACGUACCUUGCCUCCUUGAUCAUCAUCCGCCCGCUCACGAAUUUUCCAAGUACUUCUUCGGGCGUCAUCAUCGUGUACCUGGGGUUCUCACGAAUAUUGUUCACGAGAUGAGGAUCAAGAACGGUAAAGGACCUGAGCAUUAGUCGGACGACGUCGUGGUCCGUCCAUCGCGUGCUUCCGUAGCUCCUUAUUUUGUUGACAAGGGUCUUGAGCCGGUUGUAUGUUUGAGUUGGCUCCUCGCCCCUUAUCAUCGCGAACCGUCCAAGCUCGCCCUCCACCAACUCCAUUUUGGUGAGCAAGGUAGCGUCAUUUCCCUCAUGAGAGAUCUUGAGGGUAUCCCAGAUUUGCUUGGCGUUAUCCAAGCCACUCACUUUAUUAUAUUCAUCCCUGCACAAUGAGGCUAGAAGAACAGUAGUAGCUUGUGCAUUCUUAUGGAUUUGCUCAUUAAUGAAUAUAGGACUAUCCGAACUAUUAAAGUGCAUUCCACUAUCUACAAUCUCCCAUAUGCUAGGAUGGAGAGAGAAUAGGUGACUACGCAUUUUGUGGCUCCAAAAUCCGUAGUCCUCCCCAUCAAAGUGUGGGGGCUUGCCGAGUGGAAUGGAAAGCAAAUGUGAAUUUGAACUAUGCGGAAUACGAGAGUAGUCAAAAGAAAAGUUAGAAUUAACCGGUUUCCUUUGUUUGUCGUAGUCGUCGUCCUUUUGGGAAGAAGAGGACUCAUCGCUGUCGUAGUAGACGAUCUCCUUGAUGCGUCUUGUCUUCUUCUUCUUCCCAUCUCUUCGCUUGUGGCCCGAGCCCGAGUCAUUGGACUUGUCAUCCCUUGGCUCGUUGACGAAGGACUCCUUCUCCUUGUCGUUGAUCACAAUUCCCUUCCCCUUAGGAUCCAUCUCUUCGGGCGGUUAGUCCCUUUCUUGAAGAGAACGCCUCUGAUACCAAUUGAGAGCACCUAGAGGGGGGGGGUGAAUAGGUGAUCCUGUAAAAACUUCAAACUUAAGCCACAAAAACUUGUUAAGUGUUAGCACGAUUAUUGCCAAGUGGCUAAGGUGAAGUCUCAACAAUCUCAACAAAACACAGUACCACAAGAGAAUCAAGCACAGAGUGACACAGUGGUUUUAUCCCGUGGUUCGGCCAAGACCAACGCUUGCCUACUCCACGUUGUGGCGUCCCAACGGACGAGGGUUGCAAUCAACCCCUCUCAAGCGGUCCAAAGACCCACUUGAAUACCACGGUGUUUUGUUUUCCUUUCACUAUCCCGUUUGCAAGGAAUCUCCACAAAUUGGAGUCUCUUGCCCUUACAAGUAUAUGAUCACAAAUGAAACACAGAGUAAGGGAGGGAAGCAACACACACAAAUCCACAGCAAAAGCGCACACACACGGCCAAGAAUCGAGCUCACAAGACUAUCUCAGAGUUCUCACUUAGAACAGAGCUCGAAUCACUUAGAAACACAAACGAAUGCGCAGAGACUUAGUGUGGAUGAUCAAGAAUGCUCAAAGGUUGCUUGUGUGUCUCCUCCAUGCGCCUAGGGGCUCCUUUUAUAGCCCCAAGGCAGCUAGGAGCCGUUGAGAGCAAAUCUGGAAGGCCAUCUUUGCCUUCUGUCUCGUGGCGCACCGGACAGUCCGGUGCACACCGGACACUGUCCGGUGCCCGAUUUGUUUCCAUAGAAAGCGAAGCCGACCGUUGCCGACCGUUGCAGAUCUGGCGCACCGGACAGUCCGGUGCACACCGGACAGUCCGGUGCUUCCUUCCGACCGUUGGCUCGGCCACGUGUCGCGCGCCGAUCGCGCGGCCGACCGUUGGCCCGGCCGACCGUUGGCUCACCGGACAGUCCGGUGCACACCGGACAGUCCGGUGAAUUUUAGCCGAAGUCGCCGGAGAAAAACCCGAGAGCGGCCUCUUCGGCCGAGGCAGCCUGGCGCACCGGACACUGUCCGGUGCACCACCGGACAGUCCGGUGCCCCAGACCGAAACAGCCUCUUGGCUGUACACAGCCAAGUCUUCUCUUCUCUUCUUCUUUCUGUUUCUAACACUUAGACAAAUAUAUUAGUACACAAAACCAAUGUACUAAGGCUUAGAAACAUACCUUUACUUGUGAUUUGCAACUUGUCCAUCCAUGGGCAUAUUUUCACAUUUUGGCACCUGUGUUUGCACUUAAUCACCAAAAUACUUAGAAAUGGCCCAAGGGCACAUUUCCCUUUCAGGCUCCAGAGCUCCCCUAGUGGCCCUCAGCCCCUCGGGCAAGGGGAAGGGGGCUACGAGCAGUUCUUCUGCCCUGGGUGAUUCUGAGAGGUCGGAGGGAGAGAGGCGGCACCGACUGUGUCGCGCUGACGGGUCUUUCGUUGGGGAUCCGCCCCUUGAUUCGGACCUCCCCCAGAAGCGCUAGAGGACAGCUAGCGGGGGGCGGGGCCAAGGAGGCCGGCUCCUCGGCCCAGGGCUCGCAGAGGCGCGUCAGUCCUCCACCUGCGCCACCAAUCCCGCCGCCACCAUCAUCCGACUCGCCGCCGCCGUAGGGGCAGCAGCAUCAACGGCAGCAACAGCAGGAGGGGCAGCGGAUGUCUCGCUUCCAAGGUUGCUGGAAGGUCCAGGACCCCAAGUAAGUGUACCCCUUUCCAUUUUCCUCCAUUAGUCUAGUCAUCAUGUUGACAUGUAUUAACCCGUCCUUUGCUCAUUAGGGCCUCUUCCUCCUCUAUCUCCAAAGUCGCUCCUACUGGUGAGUCCGGCUCCCAGCAACAGGUGUCUGCUGGCCUCGAUGCCGGCGACCUGCCUCCGCCUGCCACUGUUGGGGCGGCGCCAUCGGGCCCCCAGGUUCUGACUGCUGCAGGCGCGGCAGGGUCGUCGGGCCCCCAGGAUCCAGCUGCCACUGCCGAGGCAGUGCCGUCGGGCCCCUAGGCCUCAGCUGAGGAUCUGAUAGCAGCAGCAUUGCCAACGGCUACUGCAGGCCCAACGGCGGCGGCGAUGUCGCCGAAUAUGCUGUCGGCGUCGGCGGAAGCCACGGGGGGCGCGUCCGAUUCCAUCCCACUGCCCGUUCUGGAGGAGCCGGAGGUUAUUCUUGGGCGGCGGCUCCAGACCGGCGCCGGGCCAGAAACGAUGCCACCUCCCCUCCCUCAGGUGUUGUCCCAUGCUCACCAGGCUCUCCGGGAGACCGAGGCGGCGAUCCUGUGGGAGUGGGAGGCGCUCGAGACUAAGCGCCAGCACCUUGGCGAUUGGCACUCCCAGCUGGAGGAACGUACCCAGGCCGCGUCCUACCAAUUUGCUUUGGAGUGGUCCGAGCUUGAGCAUGGGCGCGAGGACCUCAAGGAGGACCUGAAGAGGGUGCUCGAGCGGGAGCGAGAGGUGACUUAGGAGGAGAAGAGGCUGGUCAGGAAGAAAGAGCACUUGGACCAGCAGGAGGCAGCCAUCACGGAAUUCCAUGAGAAGUUGAAAGCCUAUAAUGCGAUGCUGGAGGAGCAGAGGGAUGAGCAUACCGCGACUGAAGCGGCGCUGCAAAAGUGCAGCAGGAGCUUGAUGAUAGGGCUAGCAACAUCUCUCUCGCCGAGGAAAACCUCAAGGCGAAGGAUGCUUCCCUAGAGGAGCGGGCGACGGAUCUCACCCGAUAGGAGAAGGACCUUGCCUAGAGGGAGGAGAUGUGGGAAAGGCGGGAAAAGUUGCUGGCCGAGCAUGAGCUCGAGGCGGAGGAGAAAGAAACAAAUUGGAGGAGAAAGAGUGGACACUAGAGGAGUAGGUCUGCCGGUUCUAGGCAACGCAAGCGCGGGUAGCGCAAACGGCGCAGGCGGCUCCGGGUUCCCAGGCGGUAGAGGCGAUGAAGAAGACGCUAGAAGAUCUUUGGUCAGAGGAUCACAUCGGGGUUCAGCGUAUCGCUGCAUGGGCCGCCGAGGCGAGCUUGGCUCUAGUACCGUUGGGGGUGAGCCCCAUCCCAGUGUUGAAGCAGUCGGUGUCCAUUUUCGACGUGCUCUCGGUGUUGGAUUUCGCUGCUGACCGCCUCCGGCGCCUUGAUCAGAUCCUUGGUGCUCGCCUGGAGGCUGAGGGCAGCAGACUCUGCCGGGCGGUAAUAGAGUACAUUCUGACGUGCUUCCAGAGCCACGACCCGGCCAUCUCCUUGGGGCCGGUGAUUGCCCGUCCGAUGGCCGAUACCGAAGACGCCGCCCGGGGGAGCGUUGAAAGGGAAUUAGGCUUACACCUAGUCCCUAAUUAAUUUUGGUGGUUGAAUUAACCAACACAAAUAAGUGGACUAACUAGUUUGCCCAAGUGUAUAGAUUAUACUGGUGUAAAAGGUUCACACUCAGCCAAUAAAAAGACCAAGUUUUGGAUUCAACAAAGGAGUAAAGGGGCAACCGAAGGCACCCCUGGUCUGGCGCACCGGACUGUCCGGUGUGCCACCGGACAUGUCCGGUGCACCAAGGGGACUCAGACUCAAACUCGCCACCUUCGGGAAUUCCCAGAGGCGACUCGGCUAUAAUUCACCGGACUGUCCGGUGUACACCGGACAGUGUCCGGUGCGCCAAGGGAGGUCGGCCUCAGGAACUCGCCAGCUUCGGGAAACUCCAACGGCUAGUCCGCUAUAAUUCACCGGACUAUCCGGUGUGCACCGGACUGUCCGGUGCGUCUCCGGAGCAACGGCUACCUCCGCGCCAACGGCUCUCUGCGGUGCAAUAAAUGCGCGCGCAGCGCGCGCAGAUGGCAGGCGUGCCCAUACUGGCACACCGGACAAGGAACAGUAGAUGUCCGGUGUGCACCGGACACCCAGGCGGGCCCACAAGUCAGAAGCUCCAACGGUCAGAAUCCAACGGCAGUGAUGACGUGGCAGGGGGCACCGGACUGUCCGGUGUGCACCGGACUGUCCGGUGCGCCAUCGAGCAGUCAGCCUCCCAACGGCCACAUUUGGUGGUUGGGGCUAUAAAUACCCCAACCACCCCACCAUUCAUUGCAUCCAAGUUCUCUACUUCCCAUCUACUACAAGAGCUCUAGCAUUCAAUUCUAGACACACCAAAGAGAUCAAAUCCUCUCCAUAUUCCACACAACGCCCUAGUGAUUAGAGAGAGAGAUUUGCUUGUGUUCUUUCGAGCUCUUGCGCUUGGAUUGCUUCCUUCUUUCUUGAUUCUUUCUUGUGAUCAAACACUCACUUGUAAUUAAGGCAAGAGGCACCAAUUGUGUGGUGGCCCUUGCGGGAAGUUUGAUUCCCAAGUGAUUUGAGAAGAGAAGCUCACUCGGUCCGAGGGACCGAUUGAGAGAGGGAAGGGUUGAAAGAGACCCGGCCUUUGUGGCCUCCUCAAACGGGGAGUAGGUUUGCAAAAACCGAACCUCGGUAAAACAAAUCCGCGUGUCACACUCUUCAUUUAAUUGCGAUUUGUUUUGCUCCCUCUCUCGCGGACUCGUUUAUACUUCUAACGCUAACCCGGCUUGUAGUUGUGUUUAUAUUUGUAAAUUUCAGUUUCGCCCUAUUCACCCCCCUCUAGGCGACUUUCAAUUGGUAUCGGAGCCCGGUGCUUCAUUAGAGCCUAACCGCUCGAAGUGAUGUCGGGAGAUCACGCCAAGAAGGAGAUGGAGACCGGCGAAAAGCCCACUACAAGCCACGGGAGCACUUCAUCGGAAGAGUCCCGCACCAAGAGGAAGGAGAAGAAGAAGGACUCCUCCAAACGGAAGGAGAAAAAGUCUUCCUCUUCUCACCACAAAGAGAAGAAGGAAAAAUCUUCUUCCCACAAGCCGCAUCGGAAAGGCGACAAGCACAAGAGGAUGAGGAAAGUGGUCUACUACGAGACCGACACUUCAUCAACAUCGACCUCCGACUCCGAUGCGCCCUCCGUCACUUCUAAGCGCCAAGAGCGCAAGAAGUAUAGUAAGAUCCCCCUACGCUACCCUCGCAUUUCCAAACAUACACCUUUACUUUCCGUCCCAUUAGGCAAACCACCAACUUUUGAUGGUGAAGAUUACGCUAGGUGGAGCGAUUUAAUGCGAUUUCAUCUAACCUCGCUCCACAAAGGUAUAUGGGAUGUUGUUGAGUUUGGUGCACAGGUACCGUCGGUAGGGGAUGAGAACUAUGAUGAGGAUGAGGUGGCCCAAAUCGAGCACUUCAACUCUCAAGCAACAACAAUACUCCUCGCCUCUCUAAGUAGAGAGGAGUAUAACAAAGUACAAGGGUUGAAGAGCGCCAAGGAGAUUUGGGAUGUGCUCAAAACCGCGCACGAGGGAGACGAGCUCACUAAGAUCACCAAGCGGGAAACGAUCGAGGGGGAGCUCGGUCGGUUCCGGCUUCGCAAAGGGGAGGAGCCACAACACAUGUACAACCGGCUCAAGACCUUGGUGAAUCAAGUGCGCAACCUCGGGAGCGUAAAGUGGGAUGACCACGAGAUGGUUAAGGUUAUUCUAAGAUCUCUUAUUUUCCUUAACCCUACUCAAGUCCAAUUGAUCCGUGGUAAUCCUAGAUAUACUAAAAUGACCCCCGAGGAAGUUAUCGGGAAUUUUGUGAGUUUUGAGUGCAUGAUCGAAGGCUCGAGGAAGAUCAACGAGCUUGAUGAUGCCACCACAUCCGAAGCUCAACCCGUUGCAUUCAAAGCAACGGAGGAGAAGAAGGAGGAGUCUACACCAAGUCGACAACCAAUAGACGCCUCCAAGCUCGACAAUGAGGAAAUGGCGCUCGUCAUCAAGAGCUUCCGCCAAAUCCUCAAGCAAAGGAGGGGGAAGGAUUACAAGUCCCGCUCCAAGAAGGUUUGCUACAAGUGUGGUAAGCCCGGUCAUUUUAUUGCUAAAUGUCCUAUAUCUAGUGACAGUGACCGAGGUGACGACAAGAAGGGGAGGCGAAAGGAGAAGAAGAGGUACUACAAGAAGAAGGGCGGUGAUGCCCAUGUUUGUCGGGAGUGGGACUCCGACGAAAGCUCAAGCGACUCCUCCGACGACGAGGACGCCGCCAACAUCGCCGUUACCAAGGGACUCCUCUUCCCCAACGUCGGCCACAAGUGCCUCAUGGCAAAGGACGGCAAAAAGAAGAAGGUUAAAUCCAACUCCUCCACUAAAUAUGAGUCUUCCAGUGAUGAUAAUGCUAGUGGUGAGGAAGAUAAUUUGCGUACUCUUUUUGCCAACCUUAACAUGGAACAAAAGGAGAAAUUAAAUGAACUAAUUAGUGCCAUCCAUGAGAAGGAUGAUCUCUUGGACUCCCAAGAGGACUUCCUAAUCAAGGAAAAUAAAAAACAUGUUAAGGUUAAAAAUGCUUACGCUCUACAAGUUGAAAAAUGUGAAAAAUUGUCUAGUGAGCUAAGCACUUGCCGUGAGAUGAUUGACAACCUUAGAAAUGAAAAUGCUAGUUUAAAUGCUAAGGUUGAUUCUCAUGUUUGUAAUGUUUCAAUUCCCAAUCCUAGAGAUAAUAAUGAUGAUUUGCUUGCUAGGAUUGAAGAAUUAAACAUGUCUCUUGCUAGCCUUAGAUUAGAGAAUGAAAAUUUGAUUGCUAAGGCUAAAGAUUUUGAUGUUUGCAAAGUUACAAUUGCCGAUCUUAGAGAUAAAAAUGAUAUACUUCGUGCUAAGAUUGUUGAACUUAAUUCUUGCAAACCAUCUACAUCUACCACUGAGCAUGUCACUAUUUGUACUAGAUGUAGAAAUGUUGAUAUUGAUGCUAUUCAUGAUCAUAUGGCUUUAAUUAAACAACAAAAUGAUCAUAUAGCAAAACUAGAUGCUAAAAUUGCCGAGCACAACUUAGAAAAUGAGAAAUUUAAAUUUGCUCGUAGCAUGCUUUAUAAUGGGAGACGCCCUGGCAUUAAGGAUGGCAUCGGCUUCCAAAGGGGAGACAAUGUCAAAAUUAGUGCCCCUCCUAAAAGAUUGUCAAAUUUUGUUAAGGGCAAGGCUCCCAUGCCUCAGGAUAACGAGGGUUACAUUUUAUACCCUGCCGGUUAUCCCGAGGACAAAAUUAGGAAAAUUCAUUCUAGGAAGUCUCACUCUGGUUCCAACCAUGCUUUUAUGUAUAAGAGUGAGACAUCUAGUUCUAGGCAACCAACCCGUGCUAAGUUGCCUAAGAAGAAAAUUCCUAAUGCAUCAAAUGAACAUGCCAUUUCAUUUAAGACUUUUGAUGCAUCUUAUGUUUUGACUAACAAAUCCGGCAAGGUAGUUGCCAAGUUUGUUGGGGGCAAACACAAGGGGUCAAAGACUUGUGUUUGGGUACCCAAAGUUCUUGUUUCUAAUGCCAAAGGACCCAAAACCGUUUGGGUACCUAAAGUCAAGAACUAAAAUUGUUUUGUAGGUUUAUGCAUCCGGGGGCUCAAGUUGGAUACUCGACAGCGGGUGCACAAACCAUAUGACUGGGGAGAAAAGGAUGUUCUCCUCAUAUGAGAAAAACCAAGAUCCCCAACGAGCUAUCACAUUCGGGGAUGGAAAUCAAGGUUUGGUCAAAGGUCUUGGUAAAAUAGCUAUAUCUCCUGACCAUUCUAUUUCCAAUGUUUUUCUUGUAGAUUCUUUAGAUUACAAUUUGCUUUCCGUUUCACAAUUAUGUCAAAUGGGCUACAACUGUCUAUUCACUGAUGUAGGUGUCACUGUCUUUAGAAGAAGUGAUGAUUCAAUAGCAUUUAAGGGAGUGUUAGAGGGUCAGCUAUACUUAGUAGAUUUUGAUAGAGCUGAACUCGACACUUGCUUAAUUGCUAAGACUAACAUGGGUUGGCUCUGGCACCACCGACUAGCCCAUGUUGGAAUGAAGAAUCUUCAUAAGCUUCUAAAGGGAGAACACAUUUUAGGAUUAACAAAUGUUCAUUUUGAGAAAGACAGGAUUUGUAGCGCGUGCCAAGCAGGGAAGCAAGUUGGAGCUCAUCAUCCACACAAGAACAUCAUGACGACCGACAGGUCACUGGAGCUCCUACACAUGGAUCUAUUCGGCCCGAUUGCUUACAUAAGCAUCGGCGGGAGUAAGUACUGUCUAGUUAUUGUGGAUGAUUAUUCUCGCUUCACUUGGGUAUUCUUUUUACAGGAAAAAUCUCAAACCCAAGAGACCUUAAAGGGAUUCUUGAGACGGGCUCAAAAUGAGUUCGGCUUAAGGAUCAAGAAAAUAAGAAGCGACAACGGGACGGAGUUCAAGAACUCACAAAUUGAAGGCUUUCUUGAGGAGGAGGGCAUCAAGCAUGAGUUCUCUUCUCCCUACACCCCUCAACAAAAUGGUGUAGUGGAGAGGAAGAAUCGAACUCUAUUGGACAUGGCAAGAACCAUGCUUGAUGAGUACAAGACACCGGACCGGUUUUGGGCCGAAGCGGUCAACACCGCCUGCUACGCCAUCAACCGGUUAUAUCUUCACCGAAUCCUCAAGAAGACAUCAUAUGAACUCCUAACCGGUAAAAAGCCCAACAUUUCAUACUUUAGAGUUUUUGGUAGCAAAUGCUUUAUUCUUGUUAAAAGAGGUAGAAAAUCUAAAUUUGCUCCUAAAACUGUAGAAGGCUUUUUACUUGGUUAUGACUCAAACACAAGGGCAUAUAGGGUCUUUAACAAGUCCACUGGACUAGUUGAAGUCUCAUGUGACGUUGUGUUUGAUGAAACUAACGGCUCUCAAGUAGAGCAAGUUGAUCUUGAUGAGAUAGGUAAUGAAGAGGCUCCAUGCAUAGCGCUAAGGAACAUGUCCAUUGGGGAUGUGUGUCCUAAGGAAUCCGAAGAGCCUCCAAGUGCACAAGAUCAACCAUCCUCCACCACGCAAGCAUCUCCACCAACUCAAAAUGAGGAUGAGGCUCAAGUUGAUGAAGGGCAAAAUCAAGAAGAUGAGCCACCUCAAGAUAAUGGCAAUGAUCAAGGGGGAGAUGCAAAUGAUCAAGAAAAGGAGGAUGAGGAAGAACCAAGGCCGCCACACCCAAGAGUCCACCAAGCAAUCCAACGAGAUCACCCCGUCGACACCAUCCUCGGCGACAUUCAUAAGGGGGUAACCACUCGAUCUCGUGUUGCACAUUUUUGUAAACAUUACUCUUUUGUUUCCUCUAUUGAGCCACACAGGGUAGAGGAAGCACUUCAAGAUUCGGAUUGGGUGAUGGCGAUGCAAGAGGAGCUCAACAACUUCACUAGGAAUGAGGUAUGGCAUUUAGUUCCACGUCCUAAUCAAAAUGUUGUAGGAACCAAAUGGGUCUUCCGCAACAAGCAAGACGAGCAUGGUGUGGUGACAAGGAACAAAGCUCGACUUGUGGCCAAAGGAUACUCCCAAGUCGAAGGUUUGGAUUUCGGUGAAACCUAUGCACCCGUAGCUAGGCUUGAGUCAAUUCGCAUAUUAUUGGCCUAUGCUACUUACCAUGGCUUUAAGCUUUAUCAAAUGGACGUGAAAAGUGCUUUCCUCAACGGACCAAUCAAGGAAGAGGUCUAUGUUGAGCAACCUCCCGGCUUUGAAGACAGUGAGUAUCCUAAUCAUGUCUAUAAGCUCUCUAAGGCGCUUUAUGGGCUCAAGCAAGCCCCAAGAGCAUGGUAUGAAUGCCUUAGAGAUGUUCUUAUUGCAAAUGGAUUCAAAGUCGGAAAGGCCGAUCCUACACUCUUUUACUAAAACUCUUGAAAAUGACUUAUUUGUAUGCCAAAUUUAUGUUGAUGAUAUUAUAUUUGGGUCUACUAACGAGUCUACAUGUGAAGAGUUUAGUAGGAUCAUGACUCAGAAAUUCGAGAUGCCAAUGAUGGGGGAGUUGAAGUAUUUCUUAGGAUUUCAAGUGAAGCAACUCCAAGAGGGCACCUUCAUUUGUCAAACAAAGUACACUCAAGACAUUCUAACCAAGUUUGGAAUGAAGGAUGCCAAGCCCAUCAAAACACCCAUGGGAACUAAUGGGCAUCUCGACCUCGACACGGGAGGUAAGUCCGUGGAUCAAAAAGUAUACCGGUCGAUGAUUGGUUCAUUGCUUUAUUUGUGUGCAUCUCGACCGGACAUUAUGCUUUCCGUUUGCAUGUGUGCAAGAUUCCAAUCCGACCCUAAGGAAUCCCACCUUACGGCCAUCAAACGAAUCUUGAGAUAUUUGGCUUAUACUCCUAAGUUUGGACUUUGGUACCCUCGGGGAUCCACAUUUGAUUUAAUUGGUUAUUCGGAUGCCGAUUGGGCGGGGUGCAAAAUCAAUAGAAAGAGCACAUCGGAGACUUGCCAGUUCUUGGGAAGAUCCUUGGUGUCUUGGGCUUCAAAGAAGCAAAAUUCGGUCGCUCUUUCCACCGCCGAAGCCGAGUACAUUGCCGCAGGCCAUUGUUGCGCGCAAUUACUUUGGAUGAGGCAAACCCUGCGGGACUACGGUUACAAAUUAACCAAAGUCCCUUUGCUAUGUGAUAAUGAGAGUGCAAUCAAAAUGGCUGACAAUCCCGUCGAGCAUAGCCGCACUAAGCACAUAGCCAUUCGGUAUCAUUUUCUUAGGGAUCACCAACAAAAGGGAGAUAUCGAGAUUGCUUACAUUAAUACUAAAGAUCAAUUAGCCGAUAUCUUUACCAAGCCACUUGAUGAACAAACUUUUACCAAACUUAGGCAUGAGCUCAAUAUUCUUGAUUCCCGCAACUUCUUUUGUUAGAUUGCACACAUAGCUCAUUUAUAUACUUUUGAUCAUAUCUCUUUUAUAUAUGCUAUGACUAAUGUGUUUCCAAGUCUACUUCAAAUCAAGUCAUAGGUAUAUUGAAAGGGAAUUGGAGUUUUUUCGGCGAAGACAAAGGCUUCCACUCCGCAACCCAUCCUUCGCCGUCGCUCCAAGCCACUCUCCAUCUUUGGGGGAGAGAACAAAAGGACUUCAUCUUUGGUAUAAUCUUAACUCAUUUGUUUAUGACCAAAGAGGAAGUCAUUACUUCGUGGGCUCUAAUGAUUCCGUUUUUGGCGAUUCAUGCCAAAGGGGGAGAAAGUAUGAGCCCAAAGCAAAAGGACCGCACCAUCACCAAUUUCAAAAAACUUAGUGCUUUCCAAAAGUAUUUAUCAAUUGGUAUCCUAUUGUGUUCAAAAGGAGAAGAAAAUUAGUUUUUCAAAAAUGUAUGUCAAAACCCUCUUGAACACUAAGAGGUGGAUCUCCUUUAGGGGGAGUUUUGUUUAGUCAAAGGAAAAGCAUUUGAAAUAGGGGGAGAAAAUUUCAAAUCUUGAAAAUGCUUUGCAAACUCUUAUUCAUUUACCUUUGACUAUUUGCAAAAGAUUCUUGAAAUGGAUUCACAAAAAGAAUUUGCAAAAACAAAACAUGUGGUGCAAACGUGGUCCAAAAUGUUAUAUAAGAAAGAAACAGUCCAUGCAUAUCUUGUAAGUAUUUAUAUUGGCUCAAUUCUAAGCAACCUUUACACUUACAUUAUGCAAACUAGUUCAAUUAUGCACUUCUAUAUUUGCUUUGGUUUGUGUUGGCAUCAAUCACCAAAAAGGGGGAGAUUGAAAGGGAAUUAGGCUUACACCUAGUCCCUAAUUAAUUUUGGUGGUUGAAUUAACCAACACAAAUAAGUGGACUAACUAGUUUGCCCAAGUGUAUAGAUUAUACAGGUGUAAAAGGUUCACACUCAGCCAAUAAAAAGACCAAGUUUUGGAUUCAACAAAGGAGCAAAGGGGCAACCGAAGGCACCCCUGGUCUGGCGCACCGGACUGUCCGGUGUGCCACCGGACAUGUCCGGUGCACCAAGGGGACUCAGACUCAAACUCGCCACCUUCGGGAAUUCCCAGAGGCGACUCGGCUAUAAUUCACCGGACUGUCCGGUGUACACCGGACAGUGUCCGGUGCGCCAAGGGAGGUCGGCCUCAGGAACUCGCCAGCUUCGGGAAACUCCAACGGCUAGUCCGCUAUAAUUCACCGGACUGUCCGGUGUGCACCGGACUGUCCGGUGCGUCUCCGGAGCAACGGCUACCUCCGCGCCAACGGCUCUCUGCGGUGCAAUAAAUGAGCGCGCAGCGCGUGCAGAUGGCAGGCGUGCCCAUACUGGCACACCGGACAAGGAACAGUAGAUGUCCGGUGUGCACCGGACACCCAGGCGGGCCCACAAGUCAGAAGCUCCAACGGUCAGAAUCCAACGGCAGUGAUGACGUGGCAGGGGGCACCGGACUGUCCGGUGUGCACCGGACUGUCCGGUGCGCCAUCGAGCAGUCAGCCUCCCAACGGCCACAUUUGGUGGUUGGGGCUAUAAAUACCCCAACCACCCCACCAUUCAUUGCAUCCAAGUUCUCUACUUCCCAUCUACUACAAGAGCUCUAGCAUUCAAUUCUAGACACACCAAAGAUAUCAAAUCCUCUCCAUAUUCCACACAACGCCCUAGUGAUUAGAGAGAGAGAUUUGCUUGUGUUCUUUCGAGCUCUUGCGCUUGGAUUGCUUCCUUCUUUCUUGAUUCUUUCUUGUGAUCAAACACUCACUUGUAAUUAAGGCAAGAGGCACCAAUUGUGUGGUGGCCCUUGCGGGAAGUUUGAUUCCCAAGUGAUUUGAGAAGAGAAGCUCACUCGGUCCGAGGGACCGAUUGAGAGAGGGAAGGGUUGAAAGAGACCCGGCCUUUGUGGCCUCCUCAAACGGGGAGUAGGUUUGCAAAAACCGAACCUCGGUAAAACAAAUCCGCGUGUCACACUCUUCAUUUGCUUGCGAUUUGUUUUGCUCCCUCUCUCGCGGACUCGUUUAUACUUCUAACGCUAACCCGGCUUGUAGUUGUGUUUAUAUUUGUAAAUUUCAGUUUCGCCCUAUUCACCCCCCCUCUAGGCGACUUUCAAGCGUGCAAGACACCGUAGACGUGGUGGCCAAGCGCUUCCAGCGAGAUCCCGCUGAUGAUGAGUAGUGGGCUCUGCGAAGAGAAAGCAAAGGUUCCACUGGGAAGCGGCUUAUCAUAUUUUGGUUUUGUAAGAUACCUUUAAGUACUAUUUGAACUUAUCUGCAUGUUACUUCCCCCUUGCUAUGUGCGUUGUUAUCAACUUCUUCCCUGUUGCUUGGCCCCUCUGGAAUGUGGUCUCGACUUGUCGAGGCUGGAUGCCAGUAUAUCUAAGAAAGAGUUGGUGACCUGGCCCCCAGGAGGGUACUUCGACUGGGAUCUAGACCUGCACGCAGCCUUAGCUAGGAAGUUUUAGUAGCGCACCCAUCGGACCCAUUAAUUGGUAUCCUUCAUCUUUUGAUAAAAACAAUGGUGGCAAGCUUAAGCAGAAUAAGAUCACCAUAAGGCAAAUCUGGGGUCGAGUGAAUCUCUUCAUAACCUGGUGUUUAUGAGCAUAAAACAACGGACCGGGUUUAUAAGGGCGGACCUUACCGGGUUGGCGUACAUACAAGUGCUACCUAGUUACAAAGGAAGAAAACUGCAUUCCCCAGUUUUUCUUUUAUGGGAAGAACUUACGGAGGUGCUCUAUGUUCCAGGGAUUGGGCAGAAACUCUCCUUCAGUUGUGGCGAGGCGGACACACCCGGGUCGUCAUACUUCCGUCACCUUGAAGGGUCCUUCCCAGCUGGGGGAGAGUUUAUGGAGCCCUUCUCAGUUCAGUACUCGCCUUAGGACUAGGUCCCCAACCCUGAGCUCCUUACUAUGCACGAACCGUUGGUGGUAACGCCUGAGCGCUUGGUUGUACCGUGCAUUUCGGAUGGCUGCUUGCCAUCUGCGCUCAUCGAUGAGGUCCACGUCUUCACGCUGCAGCUGUCCCUGCAUAGAUUCCUCGAAAGCCUGGACCCGAGGAGAACCCAUGAUGAUUUCUGGGGGAAGACAGGCUUCGGCCCCGUAGACCAGGAAGAACGGGGUCUCCCCGGUGGCUCGGCUGGGUGUUGUUCGGUUCCCCCAUAGCACGGAUGGGAGCUCACUGACCUAAUUCACACCAUGCUUCUUCAAGUAGUCAUAGGUGCGCGUCUUGAGUCCCUUGAGGAUCUCUACAUUUGCCCUUUCCGCUUGGCCAUUGCUUCUAGGGUGGGCCACGGAUGCGAAGCAGAGUUGGGUGCCGAUGCCCUCGUAAUAUUCUUGGAAGAUUCGACUUGUAAACUGGGUUCUGUUGUCCAUGAUGAUACGGUUUGGGACCCCAAAUCUACAGACGAUGGACUUGAGGAAAGCGACAGCGGCACCUUGGGUGAUGUUGACCACAGGGGUGGCCUCUGGCCACUUAGUGAACUUGUCGAUGGCGACAUAGAGGUACCGGUACCCGCCAACGGCCCUGGGAAAUGGCCCUAGGAUAUCCACCCCCCAUAUGGCGAAUGGCCAAGAGGGUGGAAUCAUUUGCAGAGCCUGAGCUGGUGUGUGCAUUUGUUUUGCGUGGAAUUGACACGCCUUGCAGGACUUCACCAUCUCAGCUGCAUCCUGGAGAGCGGUUGGCCAGUAAAAGCCAUGCCAGAAGGCCUUACCGACCAGUGUGCGGGAUGAUGAAUGACUUCCGCAGUCUCCUCCAUGGAUCUCCGUGAGCAACUCAUGGCCCUCUUCCUGGGUAAUGCAUCGCAUGUGAAUGCCGUUGGGGCCACGGUGGUAGAGAUCCCCUUCCACCACCGCGUAACGCUUAGCCAACCGCACUAUGCGUUCUAUGGACACAUGGUCUUCAGGAAGGAUAUUCUCCUUUAGGUAGUCCCGGAUCUCAGAGAUCCAUGCAUCGGGACCACUAUGAGAUAUUGGCUGCGAUGCUAAGGGGCUGGCAGGCCCCCCUGUAGCAUACACAGCCUUUGGUGGGUUCUGGGACGCCACCAGGACCGCUAGCUUUGAGGUGCUAGUCUCGCCCCCUUCGCCCAGUUUGGCAGGCUAGACGGUGGGUCUCAGCAGCCGUCUUUCGAAGACGCCCUCGGGCACGGGUGCCUAAGUUGACCUUCACGAAGAGGUCAUCUGCUACUGAGUUGUCGGCCCGAGGAACAUGUUGCAGUUCUAGGGCCGUGAAGUCUUUCUCCAGUUUCCUUACGUGAAGAAGGUAGGCUGCGAGCCUGGGCUCAUUGCAGCUACACUCUCCGCGGACUUGCUUGAUGAUCAGCUAGGAGUCUCCGUUUACCAGGAGCUGGUGGAUGCCUAGGGAUAGGGCCGCCGAUAAGCCAAAGAUCAGUGCCUCGUACUCUGCCAUGUUGUUGGUGGCUUUGAACUCAAGGUGCACCAUGUACUUCACUUGAUCUCUGCUUGGGUCGAUGAGGAUCACCCCGGCCCCGCUGACUUGUUGGCGGGCAGACCCGUCGAAGUAGAGCGUCCAGUGGGGCUCGGUGAAGACCGGACCCCUGGGUUCCGCAGGUGUGGGGUCCGAGUCAGGACCCGGACCCCCAGGGACGCUUGAGGGGGGUGUCCACUCCACGAUGAAGUCAGCCAGGACCUGACUCUUGAUGGCGUGGCGAGGUCGGAAGUCCAGCUGGAACUCAGCGAGCUCCGCAGCCCACUUGGCAAUGUUCCUAUGGCGUUAGAGUUGUGGAGGAUGGCCCUUAAUGGGAAGGAGGUCACCACCACAAUACUGUGCGCUUGGAAAUAAUGGCGUAGUUUCCUGGACGCGACGAGCACAACAUAGAAGAGUUUGUGCGUCUCAAGGUACCUGGUUUUCGCCUCAUGGAGGACCUCACUGACGUAGUAGAGCGGCCUCUGAACGGUGCGGACCCCUGUAGCCGGUCCCAAGUUCUCAAGUUCCUGGCUUUCUGGUGCCGGUCUCUCGACGACCAACACCAUGCUCACCGCUUCUGCGGCCGUCGCAAUGUAUAAAUAUAGUGGCUCCUCUAGUUCUGGAGCCACCAAUAUUGGCAGAGACACCAAGUGCUUUUUCAACUCCUGGAAGGCUUGCUCCGCCUCUUCGGUCCAAGAGAAGGGCCCGGAUUUCCGUAGCAGCUUGAAGAAGGGCAGCGCUCUCUCAGCCAGCCUCGAAAUGAAGCGGCUAAGGGCGACCAAUGAUCCCGUAAGCUUCUGGACGUCCUUGACUCGGGCCGGGGGCCUCAUGCCUCAAUCGCUCUGAUCUUCUCCGAGUUUGCUUCAAUGCCCCAGUACGAAACCAGGAACCCUAGCAAUUUCCCAGCGGAAAUGCCGAAAACGUACUUGUCUGGGUUCAGCUUCGUGCGGGUUGCUCGUAGCUUGUCGAAGACCAGGGUCAAGUCUUCCACUAAGGUCGACCCUCUCUUAGUCUUGACCACGAUGUCAUCGACAUAGACUUCUACUUUGUCUCUAAUUAGGUCCCCGAAAGUCUUACCCAUUGCCCACACAAAUGUAGGCAAGGAAUUUUUCAGACCGUACGACAUAACAACAUAGCAGUAAAGCCCAUCCACUGUUACAAAAGCGGUAUGCUUUCUAUCUUCCCUAGACAUUUGGAUUUGGUGGAAACCAGAGUAAGCGUCUAAGAAUGAUAAUAGAUCGCACCCAGAGGUAGAAUCCACGAUUUGGUCUAUACGUGGCAGCGGAUACGAGUCCUUGGGACAAGCCUUUUUCAGGCUGGUGUAGUCGAUGCACAUCCGGAGCUUCCCAUUCGCUUUGGGGACAAUGACUGGGUUGGCCAGCCAUAUUGGGUGAUGAACCUCUUCGAUGAAGCCAGCGUCUAGCAGCUUCCGGACCUCCUUUCGGAUGAAGUCCUGUCGCUAAAUAAACUGUUUGCGAGGCUUCUGACUCACCGGCCUGGCGUCGGGGUUGAUCUUCAGGCAGUGCUCGAUCACCUCCCUGGGGAUCCCAGGCAUCUGCAAUGGCUCCCAUGCGAAUAUGUCGGCAUUUGCCUGGAGGAAGGCGAUGAGCGCGAGUUCCUAUUUCUCGUCCAGAUCACUCGCAAUGCGAGUGGUCUGGGUGGAAUCUGCAGCAAGACGGAUGGCUUUGAUGGGGACACCAUCCGCUCCGGAUGGUUGUACCUUUGGCGCCUUGGGGGCGCCUUGGUACCGGAGGUUGAGGGAUUCCUCCCUCCGUCGUCUGGGUGAGCAGUCUCUGCCGCUAGGGCAUGCAGCUUUUCUAGACAGGCAGCCUGAUACCACAUUGCUAUGGUAUCUUUCACCUCCAUUUUUUGUUUGAUUUGACAUGAGGAACAUCUCCUGUCCUUUCUUUGACUCUUUUUCUUUUUUUAUAUGGGAAAUGAUCCCAAAUGAUAAGUGAAUAGGUGUGGAAGUUAUAAUUGUAAAUAAACCAGGAUCGAAUCUAUGGAAGCAUUGGUUUAUACGUUCCUUUUAGUUUCGACUUUAGGGAUA